rnacentral:lncRNA from 1 species
AGCAGUACUUUCAAGUCUUAGCAGCGCGCUCUUUCUUCCAAGAUUUUGAGACGGAUGAGGGUGAAGGAAUGAAAUUCAAGAUGCAUGAUAUAGUGCAUGAUUUUGCCCAAUAUAUGACAAAAAAUGAAUGUCUAACAGUGGAUGUCAAUACACUUAGAGAAGCAACAGUUGAUACUUCAAUUGAAAGGGUUCGUCAUUUAAGCAUGAUGCUGUCAGAGGAGACCUCUUUUCCCAAGUCCAUUCACAAAGCAAAAGGUCUUCGCAGCCUCUUGAUCGACACUAGAGACCCUUCGCUUGGAGCUGCACUGCCUGAUUUGUUCAAGCAUUUGACAUGCAUCAGGUUAUUGAAUUUGUCAGGGUCUUCAAUCAAAGAAAUACCAAACGAGGUAUGGAAAUUGAUACAUUUGAGACACCUCAAUUUGGCAUAUUGUAGAGAGUUGGUGUCCCUGCCAGAAACCAUGUGUGAUUUAUGCAAUCUGCAAUCCCUAGACGUUACUUGGUGUCAUUGUCUCAAGGAAUUGCCCAAGGCGAUUGGAAAACUUAUCAAAUUGAGGCAUCUCCGGAUUUAUGCUUCAGGUGUGGCCUUCAUACCAAAGGGAAUAGAGAGGAUAACAUGUCUUCGAACAUUAGAUGUGUUUACUGUGUGUGGUGGUGGUGAGAAUGAAAGUAAAGCAGCUAAUUUAAGAGAAUUAAAAAACUUAAAUCACAUUGGGGGGAGUCUUAAUAUACAGAAUCUAGGAGGAGGUAAAGAAGAUGCGAGUGACGCUGCAGAAGCACAACUCAAGAAUAAGAAGCGCCUGCUUCGUUUGCUAUUGGAUUUCAACCACAACCAGGAUAACGGCAUUUUAAUUGAAGCUUUACGGCCUCCGUCAGACUUGGAAAGUCUAAUCAUACGGGGUUACGGAGGGUUGGAUUUGCCAAAUUGGAUGAUGACAUUAACCAGAUUACAGGUGCUUACACUCCGUAUUUGUGAAAACGUGGAGGUCUUGCCUCCGUUGGGAAGAUUGCCCAACCUUGAAAGCCUGCUAUUGAUCUCGUUGAAGGUGAGAAGGCUGGAUGGUGGAUUUUUAGGUAUAGAAAAAGAUGAGAAUGCCAGUAUCAAUGAAGGAGAAAUUGCAAGGGUCACUGCUUUCCCCAAAUUAAAAACACUUAGUUUUUGGCAUCUCAAAGAAGUAGAAGAGUGGGAUGGAAUUGAAAGGAGAUCAGUGGGAGAAGAAGAUGCCAACACAACUUCAAUACCCAUUAUGCCACAACUUCAAGAGUUGAGAAUUAUGAACUGCCCGUUGCUGAGAGCAGUACCAGACUAUGUUUUGGCAGCGCCCCUACAGACAUUGGUCAUAGAUGUUUGCCCCAAUCUAAGGAAACGUUACGGGAAGAAGGGUGAAGAUUGGCAAAAGAUUUCUCACAUCCCUAACACUUCUUAUUGUUUAAAGAAUAGUUAAGACACCACUACGUACGGAAGUGGCAGGAAGAGGUAUGUUUCAUACACCUCUUUACUGUAUAUUGUUGACUUUGGAUUGUAUUUCCUACUUACCAUUUAUUCUAUCAAAUGCAGCUUUGAUAAUUUUGGAUUGUAUUUCCGACUUACCAUUUAUUGUUUCGACUUACCAUUUUGGAUUCUAUCAAAUGCAGCUUUGAUAUAUUUAUUUUGUUCAGAGUGGCUUCCGAUUUGGUUCUGCGUUGUGAUUUACUUCUUUGAUUGUAUUAAUUAUUUAUUAUUGAAGUAAGAAGAAAGGAAUUGAAUUUAGAAUGCUAAGUAAGCCAUGGUGGCAGCCGAGGCACAGAGGUAGUAAUAUUAAUACAUUAGAACUAUAAUUUGUUGCUGCCCAGCUUGGAAGGUAUUAGUGUCACUUCCAAUGCAUGAAAUAAUUUAUUGCUGGAGGACGAGCAGGGCCCCUAGCUGCUGUUUAAUACCGAGGCACAUUGUAAUUUUAAAAAAAUGUUUUUAAUUUUAUCUAAAGAUGUAUUAAAAUAUUUUCUUAGAUUUUUUUUAUUUUUUAUAUUAAUACAUUAAAACCAUGAAAAAAACUCUAGAAAGGUAUUACUUUAAUGUUUUUUUAAGCCAAAUGCACUUUUAAAAUACAUCAAAACACAGUUUCAAAAGUAAAAUUAAGAAGGUUUAUGAACCUUAUCAGCCCCAAAGUUGUGUUGUGCAUUUAUUAUUAUAAUAUUAGUUAUAUUUUUUCAGAAUAAUAUGUUUAUAGUGUUUAAAAAUUAACUAUUUAUUUAAAUUAUUUGAAUAACUUGAUAUGAAAUUUCAUGUAUAAUUAUUAAAUUAAUUAAUUUUAAAAAUAAUAAUUUUUUUUUUUUAUGUUACGUAAUGUCAAUUGGCAAAUCUUCUCUUUUAAAUUAGUUUAAAAUUUGAGUCAACGACUCAUCAAACCCGGAGAGACCUGAAUGUAACUCCAAGGAUUUAUUUUUUAUUUUUUCAUCCAGAACAACCAACGUGGUUUUAGUUUUUUUUAAAAAAAAAAUUACUCAUUAGAACGUUUUUGUCUUAGAGUUGAUCCAACAACCCAAGUCAAGCCAUACAAACAAUGAGUUAUGCUUAUAUGUGUAUUUUUUUUUAAGGAUCCCACAAUACAUAUUUUUAGAUUGUUUUGGGGUAAUUUUUGUAAUUGUAAAAAUUGUUUAAUGUAUUUUCUGUUUAGUUGACUUUUUGUAUUUAGUAUUGUGGAUGUAAAAAAAAGAAAAGAAAAGAAAGAGAAAAUAAUAAUAGAAAAAGAGAUGUGUGUGUGUUUAUUUUUUUUAUGUAUGUUAUUGAAUCAAAAGAAAAAAAAUGAAUUUAAUAUUUUAAUUUAUAUGCAUGAAUAUCUAAAAGGACAGAUAAAAUCAUGUUGUAUUUUUCAUGAAAAUGUAGAACAUGUAUCUACAUAUAUUUUGGGAACUAAUAACUGAUUUAUCAAAGCCUUAGAAUUGAGCUAAAAUUUUAUUUUUAAAAUCACAUCAAGUUCACGAAGCUUGAAAGUGAAUGUGUGGUUUGUAUUUUGUUUAUGAAUGUCUUUUUUAUGAUAAAAUUGCAAGAAUAAAGAAGAAUUUAAUAUUUUGAUUUGAUCACGGUAAAAAGAAUUAUGAACUUACAUGUAAGUCGUAUUUCUAAUACCUGAUGAAAGAAUAAAAUUUUUAAAACUUCUUUAACACAUCAAAGUCAUGAAGCAGCUUACCUCAGGUAGGGUGCGUUAGUGGUGCUAAUACCUUCCCUAACCACAACCAGUCCCUUACCCAUGAAUCUCUGACAAGACCAGUACAUCCGGUUUCCUAGUAGCUCACAAUCAAUUACUAGGUGGCGACUCCAAUGAACGAAUCAUAAGCAUAACGAGAAACGAAAAGAAUCGUCAGCCGAUGCCGCGCGGAUUUUCUGACGUGCGACAGUGGACAAACAUGUGUUUGUGCAAACAGAAUAAUUGUGCAAGUGGGUAUCCAACAAUAGAAUUGCAGCCCUGAUUUUACCCCUUAAUUCUAAUUUUAUAUGUAAUGUUAAAAUAUGUAACGUGACAAUGAAAUUAUGUACGUGUUACAAUUCUGGAUAUGAAUAUUGUAACAAGUCUAUCUUCCUUAUAUUUAUAGGAGGAGCAUUCGUGGCUGGAACCAUAGCGGAGCGAGCUUGAACACCUGGAGCUGCAGGUAGGUGUUUCGCUCUUUAACUAUGUAAAGUUAUUGUAGUUGUUCUUUUGUUUUUCUUAUAUGUGAUUGGUUUGUCUUUGUUAUUUACAUUUGAUAAUUAUUAGAACUGAAUUGUGUCAUGGUUGUAAGAGAAUGAUGAGAGCACAUGGUUAAGAAUGAAGAGAAUUAUUCAAUGAAUGAAAUUAAUUAAUAUAAAAGAUAAUGUGUAUGACUUAGUUAUCUAAAUGGUUAGAAACUAAGGAGAUAUGAAUAUUGAUUUUGACUUAGUUUUUCAAAAUGGUGGAAAGCUAAGGUGAAUAGUAUUUGACUUAGCCAUUUGCAAAGGCAAGGCUAAGGUGAUAUGAAAAAAAUGACUUAGUCAUCCGUAAGAAUGGAAACUAAGGUGUGGUUAUAAAACUUAGUCAUUCAUGUGUAAAAUGGCUAAGGUGGUAAUGAAUUCAGCCAGGAAUUGAGGAAGACCUAGAUUAAUUGUGUGAUUACUUGGACUUCCAUUAAGAUGGGGACCAAGGUGGCCAAAAAAAAAAAAAAGAAAGAAAGAAAGAAGAGUAAGCUUUGCAAGCAAACUAUGGAGCUUGGUAAUGAAGAAGUCAUCUCAAGAAGAAUAUAUCUACAGAAAAUGUAUUAGAAAUUAUGGCGUUAAAAAGGAAAACAAAAAAGUGUAAACUAUAUAUUUAUAUAUGUAUAAAUAAAUUAAAUUAAUAUUACUAAAUAAAUUAUGUUGUAUUUGUUGCAGGUCCUUUUCAUACCGCAGGAUAACCUUGAUUUUCUUUUUUUAUGGAUAAUUAUUUACUAGAUAUAUUUUAGAUAUGUGAAUUAUGUAAUUUUCUAGUUCACUAGGAUUUAAAAUUAUCUUCUUUUACAUAAAACAAGACUUGUACUGUUUGAUAAGUAAUAAGGUAAGAAGAAUUAAUGAUAUUGAUUUGCUGAGGUGAUAUAACGACGAGUGUUAUAACAGCAGGUAGUAAAGGCAAUAUUGAGGAAGAGAUGGUAAUGGUUAUAAUGGCGGCAAUAAUGAUUUUGACACAAUGAAAAUUGUGUAGAAGUUGGUAGGGUGGUUGUGGUUAUGCUAAUUAGAGUUGUUGAAUUAUAUUGCAAUGCAAUUCCAUGAUGUAAAAGUAUUUUUCAACUUGGAUUGAACUUAAUUAAUUAGUUUAUUAAUUUGUACAAAAAUAGUUUUAUUUCAUAAAAUAGAAAUUACAAAUAGUAAUUCAACUCAUAAUUUCAUCUAGUAUCAUGUUCUCUCUCUCACAAGAUUUUGAGUUUUAUAUAUUUAUUUUUUCUCUUUGAUAAAAUUUUAAUUUGAACUAAAUUAUUUUUUAUAAAAUGAAGUAUUAUUGCUUUCCAUCUAGAAAUGAAACACAAUAAAUUAUUUCAUAAAACAAUACAUGCAAAAUAAUUCAAUACUACUUAUAAAAGAAAAACCAUUUUAAAGUAUUAAGUCAAAAAUUCAAGAUGUUUUAAAGUAAUCCCUAGUAAUUUUGAUUUUCUCAUAAAUCUAAUUUUAUUGAGUGAAUGAAAGAUUUCAAAUAUAUAGUACGUAGUAUAUAAAUAAUUUUCUGAACCAAAGAAAAAACAGAAUUUUUAGGAGUGAUUUAAAAUCAUGAACUAGAAUUUAAGUAUUCAAGUUGAGCAUAUUAAAUUUGAAUUCCCAGUCGUUCAAGUGCAUGGGACACAAAUCCUUCUUCAAGAAUCGUCGUGUUUUCUUCCCCUUGGAACCCAUUAAAACAUGGAGCCCAAAAGUAUUUAGAUUGCCCAAUUCACUAAGUCAUAAUGAGGGAACCCAAGCCCAAGCAGAGUACUCUGAGCUAAUUCAUUUUAUUUAGAAUUAUUAUGAUUAUUAUAUCCACUCCAUUAAUUAUUAGUUCCACUUCAUUUUGUAGCCACGAUGAUCAAUAAUGCUCACUUUUAAUGUUUUUUUUUCCUUCUAAUUAUUAUGAUCAAAAUCCAUUUUUGUAGGACGUAUGACCUCACCUCAACACUAGUUUUGUACCCGCACUCUGCAAUGAGGUGCCUCUGCUUUUUUCUGGUAAGGGAAGGCAAAUAGAAUGAGUUUAAAGCAUAAUGACUUAAUUGCAAAAUGCAUAUGAAUGCAGUUUUUUGACAAGGGAGUUUGGUCUUCCUGAAGCAGCAACAAUGGCUGCUAAGCUACGCAUAAUUUGUUGUCUUAUUCCCAACAAUGCCAUUCUGACCCCAAACGCUGCUGAAUCUAGCAUGCUGAUUUCCUCACUAAUUUCGAUUUCCAGAUUUCAUAACCUCAGCCCUUAUUUUAGUAACCAAACAACUCUCUUCCUAUGUUCCUGCAUCUGCAUGUCCACUCUUCACUCUCUGAUUCCUGAAUCUUGAAAACACUCUUCUUUUGUUUUUCUAGUUGUCUUGCUUUAUGUUUCUAGCUAAAAGAAGAAAGAAGUGCCUUAAAUUAUGAAAAACUAGAAAAAGACAAUGAAAGAAGUGCCUUAAAUCACGUUAAUCCAGACAAUGCGAAUCCUUUCCUACAGAAAAUCUUGCUCAUUUCUUGGCCUUUUCACACCCAUUUGCUCCCCUUCACAAACAAAGCUCCCCAUUUAAAGGAGCUCCAAUCACGCAAACCAGCAAUCCUUCCCAACUUUUUUCCAUGACCACAGCACGCUACUGAUAUCCACACAGCCCCAGCUUCAGACAGCUUCCAUCACGCAGACCAGCAAUCCCUGCAAUCCCUUCCCUGUUAACACAACCGCAGAGCCUGUAGCUGCCGCCAACAAAACCCCAGCAUCCUCUCCAUGAAUAAACCAAAACACAUCCCUGCUCAUCCACUGAUAACUCCUUAAACUACCCAGAUACAUGACUUCCAAAAGGUAUAUGAUUUUUCAAGUUAAAUGUAACCUCUAAAAGUAUGGAGAGUUGGAGACUUGAAUUAUUCUUUGCACGGUGACAAAUGAAUUCUAGAAUUUAGAUUUUUAUUUCCCAUCUAAAUAUUAAAAUAUUUGACAUUAAAGAUAUUUUAAUAUAUUUUUUUAAAUAUAUAUAUAUAUAUAUAUAUAUAUAUAUAUAUAUAUAUAUAAAAUACUAUACAGCAUAAUCUCAAGCACCAUCAACAAAUCCAAUCAUACAACCUCAACAAAUCUGGACCAUCCAUUUUCAGACCCAAAAAUCAAAGAUCAAUAUCAAACCCCAGUCCCUGCUAUGAAAACAGGAUAAAAUCACCAGAUCUCAAAAACCCAGAUAGAUAGAUGCUUGUUUAUAUUUCCAUUACACAAGAACUAAUUGGUUACUAAUUUUGGUUUGUGUAAAUUAGUUUGAAUGGCCAGAUAUAUAUUACAUAAAAUGAAGAGAAGAAAUAGAGAAGCAGGAAUUUCAGUAGAAUGCUAUAAUCAGUUGUCCAUAUCAGAUACAUUCUUAACCUAAGGUCAGUAUCAAUAAAAAAUAAUUGCUAUAUAUCGAAGAAGAAAUUACUUUCCACAAAUAAUAAUCCUUAGCCUAGAACUCGGUAGAAUUGAAAAGCACGAGUGUUUCACCUUUGGAACUCAAAAUGGCAUGUCAUUCUCAGUAGAAACAUACAACCAAGACAGGGACUGAAUUGAAGUGUUAGAAACAGUACAGGGACUGAAAAGCUACAAUAAUACAGGGACUGAAUUGAAGUGUUAGAAACCGUACAGGGACUGAAACAAAACGCAACCCUUAUCACCAAACCCUAAGUACAUAAACUAACUAAACCAGCAGCCUCCUUCCACUCACACUCUCUUCUCUCUCUUUCUCAGUUCAUCCUAACAUCAUUGUCUAUUUUUUAAAAAUAAUUAAAUUAAGCAGACAAAUGGCAGAGGCACUUUUAUCGCCAAUUUUGGAGCAGCUAACCACGGUCGUUGCUCAACAGGUAAUUACUUUUAUACAAUUUGCAAUGAUCUAAUUAACCCUUACAUGAAUAAGAAAUAUAAAAUUGAUCUCUUUUUCUUCCUUUAUAAGAAAAACAAAAUAAAAUAUCAAAUCCUCAGAUCUAGAUUUGGAUUUUAUUAAAGAAAUUUCUUUUUAUUGUUUUAUUAUUUUUCAUAUUUCUGGAAAUAAUCUAAAACAAAUAUUCUAAGAAGGAAAAUGGAGUUGUCGAUCCUCUCAUUAAACUGAACUACUAAGGGUAAAAUAAUCAAUGAAAUGUUAAAAUAAUAAGUUCCAUAAUCUUAUUUCCAAAUAGAUUUUACGAAUACCAACAAAUACAGAACCUUUUAUUCUCUAUAUUUCCAAGCUUAUGUUGUAUAUAGGUUUCUUCCUUCUUGUAUAGUAACAGAGUGCAGACAGAGAUAUCAUCAUGAUGAUGAUAAAAAGAAAUAUUAUUAUUUUUAAUAUAUUGGUUUUUAAUAAAUAUUUUAUAUGUAAAUUAUUAAUAUAGCCAAUCCAUUUCACAGUACGUGUCAACUACGUCCUGCAAAAAAAAGAUUAAUAAAAAUUAUAUAAUCUAUUAAUUACCAAAAUUAAAAUUAAAAACUUGUAGUGAAAUCAUGGAAAUGUUUCCUCUGCUUGAACUUCCUUAUCUUUUCCACACUAAUAGGUACGAGAAGAGGUGAGCCUAGUAGGGGAUGUGAAGAAACAAGUCGACAAGCUGAAAAGCAAUCUCCUUUCUAUCCAAUCUGUCCUUGAAGAUGCAGAUAGAAAACAAGUGAAGGAUAAGGCCGUAAGGGAUUGGCUAGACAAGCUCAAAGAUGUAUGUUAUGAUAUGGAUGACGUGCUAGAUGAAUGGAGCACUGCAAUUCUUAGAUGGAAAAUGGAGGAAGCUGAAGAAAAUACUCGCAGCCUACAGAAGAUGCGAUGUUCCUUAUCUCCUUGCUUUUGUCUCAAUCAAGUGGUUCUACGUCGCGACAUUGCCCUUAAGAUCAAAGAAGUUAGUGAAAAAGUGGAUGACAUUGCCAAAGAGAGAGUUGUGUAUGGCUUUGAUCUGUACAGAGCCACUUAUGAACUACAACGACUAACAAGUACCUCCUUUGUUGAUGAAUCAAGCGUGAUUGGUCGAGAUGUUGAAAAGAAAACUAUUGUAAGCAAGUUGGUGGGUGAAAGUAGUCAGGAAGCACGGGACGUUGAUGUCAUCACUCUAGUAGGGCUGGGCGGAAUUGGAAAAACAACUCUCGCCCAACUAGCUUAUAAGGAUGCUGAGGUUACGGCUCAUUUUGAGAAAAAGAUAUGGGUCUGUGUUUCAGAACCAUUUGAUGAGGUUAGAAAAAGCUAUCCUUGAGGCGCUUCAAAGGGGUGCACCGAAUUUAGUUGAAUUGGAAUCCCUUUUGCAAAGUGUUUCUGAAUCCAUUAAGGGAAAGAGGUUGCUUCUUGUCCUUGAUGAUGUAUGGACAGACAAUCAUAGACAAUGGGAACAACUGAAACCAUCUUUCACAGGCUGUGCACGAGGAAGCAGAAUUCUAGUGACCACUCGUAAGGGCACUGUGGCAACGAUUAUGGGAACUGACCACCAGAUCAAUGUUGAGAAAUUGUCCGACGAGAUAUGCAGGUCAAUAUUCAAUCAUGUGGCAUUCCAGGAAAGAAGCAAAGAUGAGCGCGAAAGAUUGACAGAUAUCGGUGAUAAAAUUGCUAACAAGUGCAAGGGCUUGCCGCUAGCUGCCAAGGUAUUAGGAGGUCUAAUGCAGUUUAAAAGAACAAGAGAAGAGUGGGAACGUGUUUUAUCUAGCGAACUGUGGGGGCUAGAUGAGGUUGAUAGAGAUCAGGUUGAAAGAGGAAUAUUUCUACCUUUGCUUUUGAGUUACUACGAUUUACCUUCUGUGGUAAGACGAUGUUUCUUGUAUUGUGCCAUGUUUCCAAAAGACUACGAGAUGCGCAAAUAUGAAUUGGUGAAGAUGUGGAUAGCUCAAGGUUACCUCAAGGAGACUUCAGGUGGAGAUAUGGAGGCUGUUGGAGAGGAGUACUUUCAAGUCUUAGCAGCGCGCGCUUUCUUCCAAGAUUUUAAGACGUAUGGUCGAGAAGAUAUUAGAUUCAAGAUGCAUGAUAUAGUGCAUGAUUUUGCCCAAUAUAUGACAAAAAAUGAAUGUCUAACAGUGGAUGUCAAUACACUUGGAGGAGCAACAGUGGAGACUUCAAUUGAAAGGGUUCGUCAUUUAAGCAUAAUGCUGCCCAACGAGACCUCUUUUCCCGUGUCCAUUCACAAAGCAAAAGGUCUUCGAAGCCUCUUGAUCGACACUAGAGACGCUUGGCUUGGAGCUGCACUACCUGAUGUAUUCAAGCAGUUGAGAUGCAUCAGGUCAUUGAAUUUGUCAAUGUCUCCAAUCAAAGAAAUACCAAACGAGGUAGGGAAAUUGAUACAUUUGAGACACCUCAAUUUGGUAGCCUGUAGAGAGUUGGAGUCCCUGUCAGAAACCAUGUGUGAUUUAUGCAAUCUGCAAUCCCUAGACGUUGCUUGGUGUGAUUCUCUCAAGGAAUUGCCUAAUGCGAUUGGAAAACUUAUCAAAUUGAGGCAUCUCCGGAUUUCUGGUUCAGGUGUGGCCUUCAUACCAAAGGGAAUAGAGAGGAUAACAGGUCUGCGAACAUUGGAUGGGUUUACUGUUUGUGGUGGUGGUGCGAAUGAAAGUAAAGCAGCUAAUCUAAGAGAAUUAAAAAACUUAAAUCGCAUCGGGAGUCUUGUUAUAUGGAAUCUACGAGGAGGUGAAGAAUAUGUGAGUGAUGCUGCAGAAGCACAACUCAAGAAUAAGAAUCGUCUGCUUUGUUUGCAAUUGGAUUUCAACUUCAACCGGGAGAACAACAUUUUAAUUGAAGUUUUACAGCCUCCGUCAGACUUGGAAAAUCUAACCAUAACUAGGUACGGAGGGUUGGAUUUGCCAAAUUGGAUGAUGACAUUAACCAGAUUACAGGUGCUUACACUCGGUCUUUGUACAAACGUGGAGGUCUUGCCUCCGUUGGGAAGAUUGCCCAACCUUGAAAGCCUGGUAUUGAGGUCGAUGAAGGUGAGAAGGCUGGAUGCUGGAUUUUUAGGUAUAGAAAAAGCUGCGAAUGCCAGUAUUAAUGAAGGAGAAAUUGCAAGGGUCACUGCUUUCCCCAAAUUAAAACAACUUUUGAUUAUGGGUCUCAAAGAAGUAGAAGAUUGGGAUGGAAUUGAAAGGAGAGUGGGAGAAGAAGAUGCCAACACAACUUCAAUAAUAUCCAUUAUGCCACAACUUCGAGAUUUGAUGAUUCUUGAUUGCCCGUUGUUGAGAGCACUACCAGACUAUGUUUUGGCAGCGCCUAUACAGGAACUACGCAUAAGAAGGUGCCCCAUUCUAACGAAUCGUUACGGGAAGGAGGAGAUGGGUGAAGAUUGGCAAAAGAUUUCUCACAUCCCUAAGAUUCAUAUUUAGAACCUGCUUUGAGUGUAUUAAUUAUUUGCUUUGGUGUUUGCUAAGGUUGAGUGUAAAAUAAUAUGAAAGCCUUGCCAUUUACUCUAUGUGACCUCUUUACUUAGAUGGAGGAUUUAUUGCAAGUCAAAUAUUUUUAUUUUUUAUAAAAAUUUAGUUCUUUAAAUAUAUUUUUCUAGUUUAAAAAUAUAAUAAAUUAAAAAAUUUAUAUACAACUAAUCAAAUAAAUUAAAAAUUAUUUAUGUUAAUAAAUAAAUAAAAAUUUAUUAAUAAUACUUAAAAACAAAACUGGUUCAAAGCCUUCAUUGAGCUCAAUGUAAAGAGGACCAACCUGCCGUCAUAAAAGCCCAAAAUACUCCAUUGUAAAAGCCCUCGUAAGAAAACACCUUCUUCUCCAACAAGAAAAGCGAAGUUAAAACCCCAAGUAAAUAUCCCUGUCUUUCUCUCCUACACGCUCGCAUUCUCAGUUUUUCAUCUCUGCGUCUUCAAGCAAUAAACCAUGGGUGAUAGCCAGUACUCCUUUUCUCUCACUACUUUCAGUCCUACCGGAAAGCUAGUACAGAUUGAGCACGCAUUGACUGCCGUUGGAUCAGGCCAAACUUCUCUCGGAAUCGAACGUUGUUGCAAUUUAAGCUCUCUCUCUUUUUUUUUUUUUUUUCUCAUUCUCUUGUCAUUUUCGAAUGUACUAUGUUGUUGAUGGGUGCUUAGAUACUAUGUUGUUGAUUUUAUAUUAUUUUUUUUGGAGUUGUAGCGGCAAACGGUGUUGUUAUUGCAACUGAGAAGAAAUUGCCAUCUAUUUUAGUCGAUGAAUCUUCUAUAAGUAAACAUUUAUUAUUUUCUUUUAUUGGUUUUGUUAUAUUCUUUGGUUGAAAUUCAAGAAACGCUUUUGUGUUUUUUGCGUUUUUGAUUGUGUUUUCUUUGUGAACUUUUCUGGUUGGCCAUGUGAUAUUUUAGUAAUAACAUAAGUAUAGAGACAUGGGUUUGUAGCAUUCUAAUUAAAGAAGCUGAUGAUUGUUGUGGAAAAGCAACGUGGAUUCUUGCCAAUGAGGUGUUGGUCUAGUAGUUAAUGGGUUUAUAUUGAGAUUCUUAGGAGUGAUUUGAGUUUAGUGACAUCGGCUGGUAGAAAUCUAUUCAAAUUCAGUGUAAAUUUGUAAUUUGUAUUAGUAAUUUGAGCUUAGUGAUUUGGGUUCUUGCCAAUGAGGCGUUACUAUACUAGUCAAUGACUCUAAGAUUGGGACUUUGAAUGUUGGAGUGUGUAGAUUUAUAUCCUCUUUAAUCCCACUUUGUAUAAAAAGGCGGUGUUGGUUAUUUUAAAUCGUGUUGAAUGAGGUGGAGAUGGUUUGAUUUUGGAGCCAGUUGAUUGGUCUCUUAUUCUAAUUUGCAAGAUGGUAUAUAACUUGAGUUGGUUGUUGAUGGUAUUUAAUUGCUUCUUGUUUCAGGUUCAGAAAAUACAGAAUCUGACACCCAAUAUUGGAGUUGUCUACAGGUUUGUUUCUGCCUGCUUCUCAGUAAUUAGGAAUUUCCAUUUUUUUAGCUUGUGUUAAUUCUUAACAGUGUUAAUUCUUAACGGUAAAAGAUUUUACCAAAUCUAUUUUAACAAAUCUAUUUCGGGCUAAUUCAGAAAAUGGAAUAGUCAUUUUAACUUUGUUUUUGAUUCUUGACUUUGUUUUUGAUUUACUAAUUCUUGUUUUGUUAACCAAAUCAUUUUACCAUUACUUCUUUUGAUAUAUUUAUUUUCUUCCGAUUUGGUUCUGCGUUGUGAUUUACUUCUUUGAUUGUAUUAAUUAUUUAUUAUUGAAGUAAGAAGAAAGGAAUUGAAUUUAGAAUGCUAAGUAAGCCAUGGUGGCAGCCGAGGCACAGACCUAGUAAUAUUAAUACAUUAGAACUAUAAUUUGUUGCUGCCCAGCUUGGAAGGUAUUAGUGUCACUUCCAAUGCAUGAAAUAAUUUAUUGCUGGAGGAGGAGCAGGGGCCCUAGCUGCUGUUUAAUACCGAGGCACAUUGUAAUUUUAAAAAAAUGUUUUUAAUUUUAUCUAAAGAUGUAUUAAAAUAUUUUCUUAGAUUUUUUUUAUUUUUUAUAUUAAUACAUUAAAACCAUGAAAAAAAAACACUAGAAAGGUAUUAAUUUAAUGUUUUUUUAAAAUCAAAUACACUUUUAAAAUACAUCAAAACACAAUUUCAAAAAUAAAAUUAAAAAGAUUUAUGAACCUUAUCAGCCCCAAGGUUGUGUUGUGCAUUUAUUAUUAUAAUGUCAGUCAUAUCAUAUAUCUCUUCAGACUAAUAUAUUUAUAGAAUUUAAAAAUUAAUUCUUUAUUUAAAUUAUUUGAAUAACUUGAUAGGAAAUGUCAUGGAUAAUUAUUAAAUUAAUUAAUUCUAAAAAUUUAAUUAAUUAAUUCUAAAAAUAACAAUAAAAAAUUUUUUAUGUCACAUAAUGGCAUUUGUCAAAACUUCUCUUUUAAAUUAGUUUAGAAUUUGAGUCAACGAAUUAUUAAACUCGGAGAGACUUGAAUGUAACUCUUAAGAUUUAUUUUUUAUUUUUUCAUCCAGAACAACCAACGUGGUUUUAGUAUUUUUUUAAAUUAUUCAUUAUAACGUUGGCAUCUUUGGAAGUAUAAUUAGGGUUGUUUUUCAAAGUAAUUUUUAUUUUAAAACAUAUUAAAAUAAUAUUUUUUAUUUUUUAAAAAUUAUUUUUGACAUCAGCACAUCAAAAUAAUCUAAAAACAUUAAAAACAUAUUAAUUUAAAAUAAAAAAAUAAAAAAAAUUUAAAUUUUUUUAAAACUACUUUCGAAACGCGAUACCAAGCAUUUUAGAGUUAAUCCAACUAUCCAAAUCAUGAUAAAAUAAAAUAAAAUAAAAGUCAAGCCAUGCAUACAAUAAUGCUUAUAUGUGAAUUUUUUUUUUAAUGAUCCCAAUACAUAUUUGAAGAAUAAAAAAAUUAGUUCAAAAUUUAAAAAAAUUAAAAUCUUUUAAAAAUACAACUAAUCCACAAAAAAAAAAAAUAAUUACACGGCACCUAUCACCAGCCACUAAGUGCCAUGGGCCAGCGCGCCCAUGGCCAGGCAAGGAGCUCCCCUGAAAAGCAACAUGUAGAAUUUAGGCGUAAUAGAGUGUCUGUAGACACUACUACUUAGGUACUAGCUAUCACGCACUUUAAUAAGUUCAAUUAUUAGUAUUUUUAGCUGAAAUAUUGCACAAAAGCUGGAAAAAGUCCAAUUAAGCUAUAGAAAAACCCAGAUUUUGAUUUUGCAAUACUAAAAUGUUGCAGAACGUUAAAAGUACGUGUUAACUGUGUAAACCAAUGGAACUGUGUAAAGGGGACUUAUGAUUAUGUUUAAAUGAAAUUUUUAAAUAAAUUGCGUACCUGCCACUAACUUUACUUGCUUUUGUCAUCUUAAUUUCUUUUCUUUCCAUUCAACCUUCGCCUAAAAAAAAAACAUGUAAUUAGGCUUUAAUUUCAGUUUAAUUGUUAAAAAAAAAAUUUAGGAAUUAAAUGAAAAUUUUUAAAAAAUUUCAUUGCUCAAAUCCACAAUAAAAUAUAAAAAAGUAAUAAUAAUUUAAUGAACAGUAAAAAAGUCACACGUUUUAGCUUUAAAUUUAAUAUUAAAGAUUUAUAUUUUUAAGAAAUUCAACAUAAUAUACUCAAUGGCUAGAAGCUUGGUGGCCAAGUUCAUAUCAUGAGUUUUCGUUUAUUGUCGAGGAUGAUUUGGAGGUUUCGCCGUUCUUUUAUAAAUAUGCGAGGGGUAUGAUUGCUAUUACAAUGUGUCGAAUUUUAGUCCUUUUUAUAUAUGAUAUGGUGCUUCACUUCAGCGUCCACGGUUUGUCCCAGGUUUUGUAUUUGUUAGACUGGAUGUUUUAAUGUUCAGUGUUAAGGUUUACAGAUUUCUUGAUUUGUUAUAUACUGGGUUUUUUUUGUCUUUCAUUUUCGUGAUCUUCUUUUUCUUCUUCUUGUUCUCUAAUGGUGUCUUUUUCAUCGAUCUUGUUGAUGCUGAGACUCAGGGUGUGCUUAGGAAUGCAGUACAAACCGUAUCUUAAAAAUUUUAAUUUUUUUAUUUAAAAUAAAUUAUUUUUUUAUUUUUUUAGAUUAUUUUGAUAUGUUAUAUCAAAAAUAAUUUUUAAAAAAUAAAAAAAAUUAUUUUAAUAUAUUUAUAAGUGAAAAGUACUUCAAACCGUUACGUCUUUAGCUUGAGUUUUGAAUGAAGGACGUUCUUGUGUGAAUACCAAGAGUUUUUGUUUUUUUUUUUUUGAUUUUAAUGUAUUAAUAUGAAAAAUAAAAAAAAAUUAAAAGACAUUAUUAUUCUAAUAUAUUUUAAAUAAAAAAACUUUAUACGUCCCUUGUAGACUCAGGUAAAAAGUUUUUUUUUUUAAAAGAAAUAAUUUAAUAAAAAUAAUAUUAUUUGAUUUUCUUUUAAAAAUAAUUAAACUUUUAAACUCUGACCCGAUGAAGUAAAGUUUUAAAAAUUAUGGUUAAAACUGGUUCAGCGAAGAGCUUUGGCCUGAAAAGGGGGAAAAGUCGACACUGCUUUCUCUCCUAAAUAGACACCGGAUGACUAUGACACCCUUGUUAUGGUAUCUGAUUCAGCGAAAAGGAGGGUAUUAUGGUAAUUGGAACAACCUGAAUCGAGAAUCUGAACCGCUGUAUUCCUACGCAAAGAUGCACACGCUACUGAUAACUCGGCCAUCUCAGUCGAUUACUCAAUGUAAUUAAUUAGAGCACUCUUUGCUGAUUAUUUCAAGAAGGGACAUCCUCUGCCCUUAUUUUUGAGUCACCAGCUAGCUACAAGUCUUCAAGCUUUGAAAUGGCUAAAAUGAGAAUAGCCUAAUAAUAAUAAUAAUAAUAAUAAAAAGCAACAACAGAGAAGAUAAAAUAAAGAAGACAUAAAAGCAGGGUAUCUACUCUAUAACUGGAAGAAAAUUAAUAGCAUUCAUAUCUAUUGUCAUGAUUAAUUAAGUAUUGAAAAAAAUUAUCAAGAAAAUUAAUAUCAUCAAGAAUAAAGAGUUCAAAAUGUUUGUUAAAAUUCAAAAAAAUGGUGAAAUGUCCUAUUUUUAGGGAUAAUGUCAAAAAUUUCAUUAAAUUUAAAAAAGUGAUGAAAUUUCAAAUCAUCAGGGAUUAACAUCAAAGUUUUAUUAAAAUUCAAGAAAUUAUGAAAUCUACUGUCUUUAGGUCUUCAGGGAUUAAUGUAAAGAAAAAUAAAAGAUUAAAAAAUUAAUGAAAUCUCCUAUUUUAGAGAUUGAAAAUGGCAAAAUUUCCGUUAAUUUUUUUUUAUUGAUAACAGUCAAGAUUAUAUAUAUAUAUAUAUAUAUUAAGGCUAGUGCUAUAAAAUGACAAGCUAUAAAAUCUUUGAUUUUUAGGGAUUAAUGUUAUUUUGAUUAAUGUUAUGAUUUUUAUAAAAUAUUGUCUAAAAAAGUAUUUUUUUGAAAAAAACCAGGGAUGCAUUAAUAAGAUAAAAAAUGGUUUUAAUUUGAUGGAUAUCUUUUUUAUUUUAAUCUCAAAGCAUUGUUUUUUUUUUAUUAUUUCUUUUCAAUAAAGAACAUAGAACAAAAAAGUUAUAUUGUUUUGUAGAAUAAUUAAAGAACAUAUGAAAAAAAAAGUUAUAUUUUAUCUCUUCGUUGCUAAAAUUAACAUCAUAUUUUACUAUCGUUGCACUACAAAAAAAAAAACAAUAUGUAAUGGCUCUUCAAAAUAUAUUUAAGGACACUUUUUAGUAAAGGCAGGUUCAUCUGCAUCGAUACGAGAGAGUUUUAUUUGCUAGGACAUGCCUUGUUGUAUGAUUUAUACAGUGUUUGAUUUUGUAUUUCAACAACAUUUAAAAAAAAAUUAAAUUUCGAAACACUACAAAAACUUAAAAAAAAAAAUGUUGAGACACUAAAAUACAAGCUUCCUUUUUUUUUUUUCCAACCUACAAGUUGUGCUCUCCAAAAACUAAUGAAAAAAAACUAAUAAAAACUAACUUAAUUUGAGACACUAAAAUAAAAAAAUGUUGAGACACUAAAAGUCUAAAAUACAAGCUUCACCUGCAACGCCAAACCCUAAGUAUAUAAACUAACUUCCAUUCACAAUCAUCAGCCGCCUCCUUCUCUUCACCCUCUCUUUCUCUCUGCUCAUCCCGUCAUCAUUGCUUCUCUCUCUCUCUCUCUCUCUCUCUCUCUCUCUCUCUCUCUCUCUCUCUCUCUUUCCAAUCAGAACUAAACAGACGAUGGCUGAGGCACUUCUAUCUCCGAUCUUGGAGCAGUUAACCACGAUCGUUGCUCAACAGGUAUUUUUCUACCAUCUGCAAUAACCUGAUUUACCUAGCAGAGAUAAGAAAUAUAUAUAAAGUUCAAGCCUUUUUUCUUCCUAUCAUAAAAAGAAUACUUUUAACUUGAAUAAAUAAAAAUAAUAUUUUAAAUCCUCAAGUAUAUAUUUGGAUUUUAUUAAAGAAUCUUCUUUUUCUUGUUUUAUUAUUUUUCAUAUUUCCAAAAAUAACCUAAAGAAAAUAUAUCAUUCCAAAUAUAGGAAAACCGAAAAAGGCAAAACAAGAAAUAUUAAGGGUAAAAUAAUCAAUAAAAAGUUCAAAGGAUUACCGAGCGAGUAUAUAUAUAUAUAUAAGGUAAAAUAUCUAUAGUUUAAUGUAAAAUAAAAACCAGAUUUUAUGUCGGUUCAAAGGAGAAAUCCUUCUCUCGGGAGAACAUUAAACUCUUUCCAUGCCUAUAUUAAUUAUAUAUAUAUAUAUAUAUAUAUAUAUAUAUAUAUACGUUCAGAAAUAUUUUAUAUAUAAAUUAUUAAUAUAGUCAAUCCAUUUCACAAUAAAAUAUAUUAAUACAAAAUAAUUAAUCUAUCAGUUGCCAAAAAUUAAGAAAUUGUGUUGAAAUCAUAGUAACGUUUCCUAUGCUUGAACUUCCUUAUCUUUUGUACACUAAUAGGUACAAGAAGAGGUGAACCUCGUAGGAGGUGUGAAGAAACAAGUCGACAAGCUGAAAAACAAUCUCCUCGCUAUCCAAUCUGUCCUUGAAGAUGCAGAUAGAAAACAAGUAAAGGAUAAGGCUUUAAGAGAUUGGGUAGACAAGCUCAAAGAUGUAUGUUAUGAUAUGGAUGACGUGCUUGAUGAAUGGAGCACUGCAAUUCUUAGAUGGAAAAUGGAGGAAGCUGAAGAAAAUACUCCCAGCCGAAAGAAGAUACGGUGUUCCUUCCUGGGAUCUCCUUUCUUUUGUCUCAAUCAAGUGGUUCAACGUCGCGAUAUUGCCCUCAAGAUAAAAGAAGUAUGUGAAAAAGUGGAUGACAUUGCCAAAGAGAGAGCUAUGUAUGGCUUUGAGUUGUACAGAGCCACUGAUGAACUCCAACGAAUAACAAGUACCUCCCUUGUUGAUGAAUCAAGCGUGAUUGGUCGAGAUGAUAAAAGGGAAGCUGUAGUAAGCAAGUUGCUAGGAGAAAGUAUUCAGGAAGCGGGGGACGUAGAGGUCAUCUCUUUAGUAGGGAUGGGCGGGAUUGGAAAGACAACUCUCGCCCAACUAGCUUUUAAUGAUGAUGAGGUUACGGCUCAUUUUGAGAAAAAGAUAUGGGUGUGUGUUUCAGAUCCAUUUGAUGAGGUUAGGAUAGGCAAAGCUAUCCUUGAGCAACUUGAAGGGAGGGCACCGGAUUUGGUUGAAUUGCAAUCCCUUUUGCAAAGGGUUUCUGAAUCCAUUAAGGGAGAGAGGUUCCUUCUUGUCCUUGAUGAUGUAUGGACAGAAAAUCAUCGACAAUGGGAACAACUGAAACCAUCUCUCACAGGCUGUGCACGAGGAAGCAGAAUUCUAGUGACCACUCGUAAACAUUCUGUGGCAACGAUGAUGGGAACCGGCCACGUGAUCAACCUUGAGAAAUUGUCUGAUGAGGUAUGCAGGUCAAUAUUCAAUCAUGUGGCAUUCCAGCAAAGAAGCAAAGAUGAGCGUGAAAGAUUGACAGAUACCGGCGAUAAAAUUGCAAACAAGUGCAAGGGCUUGCCUCUAGCUGCCAAGGUAUUAGGAGGUCUAAUGCAGUCUAAAAGAACAAGAGAAGAGUGGGAACGUGUUUUCUGUAGCGAACUAUGGGGGCUAGAUGAGGUUGAUAGAGAUCAGGUUGAAAGAGGAAUAUUUCUACCUUUGCUUUUGAGUUACUACGAUUUACCUUCUAUGGUAAGACGAUGUUUCUUGUAUUGUGCCAUGUUUCCAAAAGACUACGAGAUGCGGAAAUAUGAAUUAGUAAAGAUGUGGAUAGCUCAAGGUUACCUCAAGGAGACUUCAGGUGGAGAUAUGGAGGCUGUUGGAGAGCAGUACUUUCAAGUCUUAGCAGCGCGCUCUUUCUUCCAAGAUUUUAAGACGUAUGAUCGAGAAGAUGUUAGAUUCAAGAUGCAUGAUAUAGUGCAUGAUUUUGCCCAAUAUAUGACAAAAAAUGAAUGUCUAACAGUGGAUGUCAAUAACCUUCGAGAAGCAACAGUGGAGACUUCAAUUGAAAGGGUUCGUCAUUUAAGCAUGAUGCUGUCAAAGGAAACCUAUUUUCCCGUGUCCAUUCACAAAGCAAAAGGUCUUCGCAGCCUCUUCAUCGACGCUAGAGACCCUUGGCUUGGAGCUGCACUACCUGAUGUAUUCAAGCAGUUGACAUGCAUCAGGUCAUUGAAUUUGUCAAUGUCCUUAAUCAAAGAAAUACCAAACGAGGUAGGGAAAUUGAUACAUUUGAGACACCUCAAUUUGGCAGAUUGUUAUAAGUUGGAGUCCCUGCCAGAAAUCAUGUGUGAUUUAUGCAAACUGCAAUCCCUAGACGUUACUACAUGUCGGUCUCUCUGGGAAUUGCCCAAGGCGAUUGGAAAACUUAUCAAAUUGAGGCAUCUCCGGAUUUGUGGUUCAAUUGUGGCCUUCAUGCCAAAGGGAAUAGAGAGGAUAACAUGUCUUCGAACAUUAGAUUGGUUUGCUGUGUGUGGUGGUGGUGAGGAUGAAAGUAAAGCAGCUAAUCUAAGAGAAUUAAAGAACUUAAAUCACAUCGGAGGGAGUCUUAGAGUAUAUAAUCUACGAGGAGGUUUAGAAGGUGCGAGAGACGCUGCAGAAGCACAACUCAAGAAUAAGAAGCGUCUGCGUUGUUUGCAAUUGUAUUUCGACUUCGACCGGGAGAACGACAUUUUAAUUGAAGCUUUACAGCCUCCGUCAGACUUGGAAUAUCUAACCAUAUCUAGGUACGGAGGGUUGGAUUUUCCAAAUUGGAUGAUGACAUUAACCAGAUUACAGGAGCUUACACUCGAUUAUUAUGUAAACCUGAAGGUUUUGCCUCCGUUGGGUAGAUUGCCGAACCUUGAAAGCCUAGAAUUACGCGGGUUGAAGGUGAGAAGGUUGGAUGUUGGAUUUAUAGGUAUAAAAAGUGUUAAUGAAAGAGAAAUUGCAAGGGUCACUGCUUUCCCCAAAUUAAAAAAACUUUGGGUUUUGAAUCUCAAAGAAGUAGAAGAGUGGGAUGGAAUUGAAAGGAGAUCAGUGGGAGAAGAAGAUGCCAACACAACUUCAAUAUCCAUUAUGCCACAACUUCGACAGUUGACAAUUCGUAAUUGCCCGUUGUUGAGAGCACUACCAGACUAUGUUUUGGCAUCGCCUCUACAGGAAAUGGUCAUAAGCAUUUGCCCCAUUCUAAGGAAACGUUACGGGAAGGAGGAGAUGGGUGAAAAUUGGCAAAAGAUUUGUCACAUCCCUUACAUUUCUAUUUAAAGAAUAGUUAAGACACCGCUACGUAAGUAAAAAAUAAUGUGUUUGAUAAUUGUUUGGGAACGCUGUCCAAUGUGUUUUCAUAAAUUUUGAAAUUUUUUUUUUAAAAAAUAAUUUUUUUAUGUUUUUAGAUUGUUUUCGUGUGUUGGUAUCAAAAAUAAUUUUUACAAAAUAAAAAAAAUAUUAUUUUGAUGCAUUUCUAAGUGAAAAGCACCAAGGUUGUCAAAAACACAUUUUUGACACGACACGGAAUAUACAAUAUAAACUUGGAUCGUAAACUCAAAUCGUAAAAUCAUAAAAUCGUAAGUAAAAGUGAAAUAAAGUAAUAAACAAUACAAAUGUCCAAACACUUAAAAUACAUGAUUCAAAUAAAAAUUUAUAAAUAGUUUAAAUAACUUUAAAAUAUAAUACAACAAUUAUGUCCAUAGAAUUUUAUUAACUAAAAAUUAACAAACUUAAAACAAAUAAUAUAUUGGUGUGUCAUAUAAACUAAACAUGAUCUCAUUGCCUUGAUCUUCAUAAGGAUGUAUAGUGCUGAGAAUUGAAUAAAAUACAACAAAAAAACCAACAUAUAAAUACAGGGAAAACACAACCAUCCCUUGCAGCAGCAGCUAAUGCAGGGUUAUCUUCAAUUCGAAAGUCCCUCCUACACCAAACAAUGGUCUUACUGCUACCCAUUAGGAUCAUAACCCCUUUUGCACCAGAAGAUAAACAAAUAUAAACAAGCUCCUGGAUAACAAGCUCCUGGUUAUUAUCCAGGAUAUAUAAGAGAAGUAAGAAUUGGGAACAGGUAAAUUCCAGUUUACCACAUACUACAAGAACACCAACUCUAAAACUACACCUUUGCAUCAGAGACACCCCCACCUUCUGUAUAAUAGAGGAGCACUCCUCUAGAACCUUCAAAGACAAAUCAUUGCAGGCACCUCUCUCUGUUUAACCUAAUAUUCUUCAACUAAUUCUUUUAACUCUAUGUGCAACAAGAAGAUGAGAUAUCAUGUGACUGAAGAAUCAAUAUAUAUACCAAAAUUCAGGACAGUAUUAAGCAUUCAUUUCAUGCUCUGCCCUUCUAGUGGGAAUUGCAAUAAAAAGGAAGAUGGGUUUUGAAGCUAUAUAUGAUGUAGCAGCAUUGUAGCAACCAGAAACUGAAAGCAACCAUUUGAAAGCAACAUAUUUGGUACCGUCUAUCAGAUUAGGACACAAACAUGCAAAGAUUGCAAAAACCCAAUAUGGCAAUAAAUAUAUACACACAUACAAGACUUGUCAGCACAGUUAAUAAGGCAUGCGAAAUUACAAAAGAGAAAAGAUCUUAUGAUUCAGCAAAUGAGCAAAUGUUAAUAUGACAGGCACUCAACUCUUAUUCUAUAUCAGACACUUCGUCGCCAUGGAUGAGGGGAAAAAGAAAAGAUUAACAGAAAAUAAUGUGUUUACCUGGAAGAUUUUCAACACCAGGAAGAUUUUCAGCACAAAUUGCAAGAUUAACAGCAAGUUCAAGAUUAUUUAACUGCCAAAUCACCCAAAAAUAAUAUAAGAUUGAUAACCCAAAAAUGAUAUAAAACAUGAUAGAGAAGGAGAGAAUCAAGCAAACCUGGCCACUAAUGAAAUAAUCCAGCAACCAAACCUGGCCACUAAUGAAAGAAUCCAGCAAGCAAAGCUGAGAGAGUGGAGACUGGAAACUGGAGACCGGAGAGGCGGAGAGGCGGGCCUGUUAACGGCGAAAUAAAGAAAAAAAUGGGGUUUUUGAGAGAAAGAAAGAGAGUGGAAGGCGUUGGCUUCUGCUGGGUUUAAGAUUUGAGAAUCAGAGAAUGUGAGAUCUGCUUCUGCUAGGGUUGAAUUUGAGAAUCAGAGAAUGUGAGAUUUGGGGGAAGCGGAAAGGAAAAAGGGGAAUUUUGUGAGACUAACGGGAUGGAUAGGAGAGGAUUGAGAACAGUGAGAAGAUUCAAUGGUUUUUGUUAAUUCUAUCGAACUCGGUAAACUCGGUUCGAGUUUACCGAGUUCACCGAGUUUGACCAAGUUUACUAAUUUUCAAGUUUUCUACCCGAUUUCACACGGUAUAUCUGAGUUGACUCGUAAAAUCGUAUGAUUUUACGAGUCAACUCGCAAGUUUGACAACCAUGAAAAGCACUAUGAACCGCCACCGCUGCUAUAAUUUCAAACAGGCAAGCUUUUCAAAUUGAGGUAAUAAAAUAACUAUAAAAGACAUAUAUUAAUAUUGAUGUUUUUUAGUUGAAAUAUUGUAGAUUUAAUUUCUGCUAUUACAUCAUAAAACAAACAAUACUUUAUAUAAAAUAUUUUUUAUUGUUUCAUUAAACUAUCUGUAAUUUCAUCACGUACGAAAUUCAUCCUGCCUUGACUAUAGUUUCCAUUGAUUUUAGAGUGUGCAACAACAUCAGGUAAAAUCUCAUCAGGAACAUAACUGGAAUUGUGAUCAAAUUUUGUAAAUGCAACGUCAUCAUACGAUCUCCUUCUAAUAUAAUUAUGUAGUGCCAUUGAUGCCAUUAUAAUUUCAACUUGCGUUUUGUAUGGAUAAGCAAGCAUGUUUUGUAAAAUCCUUCACCUUUGUUUCCAUACUCCAAAAGAACGUUCUAAGACAUUACGUAGCGAUGAGUGUGCUCGAUCAAAAACUUCUUGCCGAUUUCUUGGUUGUCCACGACGCCUAAAAUCUUCUAAGUGAUAUCUCUCACCUUUAUAUGGACCUAAAUAAUCAUACUCAUUGGGAUAUCCAACAUCAACUAAAUAGUAUUUACUUGUAAUUACAAACAACAUUCAAAUUUGUCAUGUAAUUAGUAAAUAAUAAACAAAUUUUUAUACUUAUAAUUACAUAACAAGUUCUGUUGUAUAACUACCUUCUGGUGGUUUAUGAAAUUUUAUAUUUCUAUUCUCAAUAGCCUCAAGAAAAAUACGUGUAUCGUGGGCACUACCUUCCCAUCCUGCCCACAUAAACAUGAACUGCAUGUCAAAACUACAAGCAACCAUUAUGUUUUGAGUCGAUACACCUUUUCUUCUGAUAAAUGGAAUUUGAUUUUCAGUUGAUAUGCAAGCUCACACAUGUGUUUCAUCAAUUGCACCAAUACAAUUCUACAUGAAAACCAUUGAUAAUAUGAUGUCGUUACUUACUAACAUGCAUAAAACAAUUUUUCUUUGAAUAAUAACAAUAUUAACAAAUCUUUUUCUUACCUUGAAAUGAGGCAUAUAUCUUGGAUUCAUUGCAAUUUCUCGUGGAGUGCUUGUAAAAUUCAAGUCCUUUGGUUUUAUGACAUCUAUUGCAAACAAACAUACUGCUGCGAGGACUUCUUUAAUGCAUCUACUAACAGUUUCACCUGAAUGUUGAAAUCGCUCUUGAACCUCUCUAUUUGGUGCUCCUUGUGCUAUUGUAUCUAGAAAUAUAGCCACUUUUUCAAUCACACUCAUCCUUCUCGAAGGCUUUAACCCAUACUUUGUUUCUAAAUCACUGCACAGGCUAAACAAAGUUCAUGUGUCCAUUCUAAACAGGUUGACACAUCAUUUCCAAUGUCCUCGUAAAACUUCAGUUAACCAACGCAUGCAUGUAUUAUAUGAAACCAUGCACGGUUCUUUAUGCAUAUAAUUAAUAUAAUACAUGUUUAUUGCCCCAGCUGUGCACACAACUAACUUCUUCAUAUCAAAAUCUCACUUCCAAAAUGAUUCAUCAUCAUCAUCAUCACUAUCGUCGUCGUCGUCGUCAUCAUCAUUGUUGUCGUCAUCAUUUUCCCCGUCAUCACCAUCCUCUCCCGAGCCACCGUUGUCAUCAUCACCACGAUAAUUAAUGUGAUCAACAACACGAUCCAUUAUGUUUUCAUAAUCAUCAUCAAGAUCUUUAUUGAAUAUUGCAUUAAAAAGCGCAUCUUCCAUAUGUAUAAUGCUAAAUAAAUAAACAAAUGAAUAAUGUUAAACCCUAUUUUUUCAAAUAAAACAUAAUAUCUGAUGGUAUACUUUAUCGUUUAAUUUUACACCACGCAAAUAUUACAGUCUACGUCUUCACACUAGAAAAAAUAUUGGAAAAAAAUGUUUUUGGAAAGUAUUUUUUUUAUUUGUUUUUUUUACUGGGUCGGACCCGAAAAAAAUGUUGGUUUAGAUUGUGAACAGUGGAGACAGGCAAAUGCAUCAGCAGAAGAAGAAGGAGAAGGGGGAGAGGACGCUACCCUGUACGAUGGCGAAGUAUGGUUGGCGGUGGCAACGACGAAGGCUAGUGGUGAACUAAGAGACGGUUUUCCUUUGUCCCUGCUCUUCUUCCUUCUCCCUGUUUCUGCUACGCUUUUUUUCUAUUUCGGACAGUUUUCUCCCCGUUGAUGAUGGUGCUGUUGUUGUCAACAAUGACUCCAGACGGUUAUUAUGGCGACGAUGAGGAAGGUUGACGGUGGUGGCCUUGUUUUUAUCCCGUGGUUGCCUCUGUUUUUCGUCUGAUUCUGCUCUUCUUCCUUCUUUCUGUCUCUGCUACGUUAUUUUCCUGUUUCAGACGGUUUUCUCCCCGCUGAUGGUGGUGCUGUUGUUGUCGACAAUGACGCCAGAUGGUUGUUGUGGCGGCGAUGAGGAAGGUUGGCGGUGGUGGCCCUGUUUUUAUCCCUUGGUUGCCUCUGUUUUCCUCUGAUUCUGCCCUUUUUCCUUCUCUCUGUCUCUGCUGCGUUCUUUAAGCGUUUCUGACCAGUUUGUUCUUUUUUUUACUUCUUGUUUUCCCUUCAUUCUGGUUCGUCACUUCUUUCUACCCUUAUAUUUAUUAUUCUGCAAGGUUGUAACCCAUGUGAAAGAUUGUGAAAGGUUCUAUCGCAAUGUACCAUGUGAAAAGUAUUACUGCAAUGUAUUUUUGUCACCAUGUAAAAAGUUUUCAUAUCUCUGCAAUUUACACCAGUUAGAUGGUUGUUGCUUGUUGCAUGUGACUUGUUGCAUUUCAAAUCCUUGCAUUUCAGAUUCGUGCUAUUCUUGCAUCCUGUGAUUUCUUUCUUUUUAGUUUUUUUUAUUAUGUUUAACAUUUUGUAUACUCUUUCCUUUUCCUUCUUGUUAAUCCACAUCAAUUAUAUUGUUGAUUGCAUCGUCAAUUUUUUAUAAAUGGAUUUGUAAUCGGAUUUCUUGAGCAGUGGAAUUUGUAAUUGAAAAUUGUUCUGUCGAUUAAAACACAACCCUUUGUUUGCAUUGUCAACCAAUGGCAUUCAUAAGCAUAUUUUGUAAAAUCUAAAAGCAUUGUCCACAUCAUAUGGCAUUAAUAUUACAUAGUAUUUUUCCCGAUCGCAAUUCAUAAUACUCAACAAUUAUCGAAUAACUUUACAACUUUUAACUAUAUUAAUAAACAAUCCAUAACAUGAAUAUAAUAAAUAUUAAUGCUCCAUAACCUAAUAACCUAACUGAAUGCAAAUAGUGUCUCCUAAUAAUGUGAAUUGUUAAAAUUACAAAUAGGAUCCCGAACAAACAUAGAUGAAUUUAUUACUCAAUAUCAUCUUUAGAUAUUUGCAAAUUUAAAUAAUUGACAAGAAAUUUAAAAACAUGUUACAUAACAAUUUAGAUAAUAAUAUUACCAACAAAUAAAUGAAAGCAUGCAUUUGGGAUCAAUAUAUACCUCUCUGUUUAAGGUGCUUUACGUCAUGUAUGCAUUCUCUACAACCAUUUCAUCUUGUUUUCAAGAUUACCCAUAGUUAACCACAUUUUUCUAUUCCUUCUCAAACCUAAAAACUCAGCAGCAAACUCAUGAAAAUCAUCACCAAUAUAAACUCCUUCAAUUGAGUGAAGCUUGGUCAUAACCUCAAGAAUACUACAUCUUUACCUAUCUCUAUUGAUAGAUGUUGAAUCACUAUUGUUUGACAUGCUGUCAACCAUUUGAUCCCACCGUAACAGUAAUUGCAACCCAAUUCCAGAACUUUUUUUUUCCCCAACUUGAACCUCAGAACAUUCUCUUUCUUUUCUUUUUCCAUUGUUGCAUGUGUUGCUACUGCUGGACAUAUUAACCCCCUCUAACCAUGUUGCAAACAUCAUGGUGAAAUUUGGAAUUCCAUCCUCUUCUGAAUCACCGCUUCGCACUUGUUAGCAAUUUUAUCACUGAUUCUGUCAAUCUUUCGCACUCAUCUUUGCUUCUUUUAUGGAAUGCCACCUGAUUGAAUAUUGACCUGCAAACCUCAUCAGACAUUCUCUCAAGGUUGAUCAUGUGCUCGGUUGCCAUCAUGGUUAACUCAGAAUGUUUACGAGUGGUCACUAGAAUUGGUGCACCGCCUUUAAGAGAUAGUUUCAGAUGUUCCCAUUGCCCAUGACUUUCUGUCCAUACAUCAUCAAGGACAAGAAGGAACCUCUUUCCCUUAAUUCAUUCAGAAACACUUUGCAAAAGGGAUUCCAAUUCAACUAAAUUCGGUGCACCCCUUUCAAGCGCCUCAAGGAUAGCUUUUGCUAUCCUCACCUCAUCAAAUGGAUCUGAUACACACACCCAUAUCUUUUUCUCAAAAUGAGCCAUAACCUCAGCGUCAUUACAUGUUCAAAAAUCUCAGAAAUAAUAUCAUUCAUCAGGUACAGAAAAGAACAUAAUGACCGGUAAGGUAGUUAUAAUUAAUGAGAGAUGUAAGGACUCAGAAAUUUAUUACUGUGAAAAGAAGAAACAUUUACCAUCAUUCUAAUUACAGUUAGCCAUCUUUAGCAAGUAAAAAAAGCCAACCCCGUGUAAAGAUAGUGACUGCAACCUCUGAUGCAAUCUAAAUUUGGUGUAUCUUCAUCCUCAAUCUUUUCUGAAAAAUAUGAAAGUGUAUGAAAGAAAGAUUGUAUGAAUUCAGAGAGAAGAAACAGGUAAUAUCAUCAUGAGCAUCUGAAGUGGCUUCUAGAUGUGUUUUUUGUAAUAAAAGCCUGGAAUCUUCAAGUCACCUCUUCAUCCAUCCACUGCCACUUUGCUUGGCAUCUAUGAAUGAAAUUCCUUUCACGAUGGGGUAUUAACAGUGUUUUUUCAAAAUCUGUUGUUUGUAUGUGCUACCAAUGAUUUUCUAUGGUGAAAGGCAAUCAACAGAAUCUCUCAUGACAGCUUCUCUUCUCCUGCAUUGUGUGGAAUCUUUAGCUUCAUCAGAAUGAUAUCAUCUUUAAUAGGGCUGCUCCAAAUCUUCAAAGCUGUUUUUCCUUGAUCUUCCGCAGUUUCUCAUUUUCUUCAGACUCUGCUGGCGAGGAUGUUCAUAACAGCUAUGAUGGCAUUGGUUUUGUAAAAAGGAGGAGCUGAUUUCAAUUGUUUUUUUCCUUUUCCCACACUGUUUUCCUUCCCCUGUUUCAAAACCUCUAAAGCUUGUUUGCUUUUUUUUUUUUGGUCAGCUAGAACUUCUGGAUGCUAGGCUAUUAUCUUUUUAGCCAUUUUCUUAUAAUACACUCGACUAUUAUAAGAAAAAAUGCAUCUGAAGUGGCUGAAUAUAUAAGCUUCGGUUCCAUCUCCAUCAGCAUCAAAUGCACCCGAGCUAUUGGUGAGCAGCGCCAACGAGAGGGGAAAAUAAAAAAUACCAUCCAGCAUUUACUCUAACCUUCCAACUCAUAUAUUCACAGAACUUUCAAUCUUGCCUUGCAUAGAAACCAACAGUGAACCUUAGUGGAGAGGUGACUCGCAGAAACUUAAAAAGCGGAAUCCACAUGCAGACAGUAACUCGGCCAACUCAGUCGAUUACUCAAUGUAAUUAAUUAUAGCACUCUUUGCUGAUUAUUUCAAAAAGGACCUCCUCUAGCCUUAUUUGAGUCACCAGCUAGCUACAAGUCUUCAAGCUUUGAAAUGACUAAUGGCGUACGGCGUACCACUCUGCCACUGGUAAGGAAAAGAAAUCUCUUUAAAGUCACCAAGGAACUUUUUUUUUUUUUACAACAGUGGAGAAUUUUAUUAAAAAUUUGGCUAUAAAGAGAAUAGCUUAAUAACAAAAAAAAAAAAAAAAGCAACAAAGAGAAGAUAAAAAAUAAAGAAGACAUAAAAGCACGGUAUCUACAACAGGAAGAAGAAAACAGGGACCAGACAAUAGAUAAAAACAAGAAGUCAACUUCUGUUAUCCCCGAAAAAGAUCCCAUCAGAGUUGAUCCCUAAAUCCAAACCGGUGUAAGCAGAAGUUGUGCUAUCAAACUUCAACCAUAAGGAGAACCUGUGGAGGAUAAAGUAAAAACAACCCUUAAGAUCUGGAAUAGCAUCAUUGAAGAUUACAUCAUUUCAAUGUAGUCAUAGACGCCAUGCAAUACAAGAAAAGAGAAGUUGUUAUCAUGAAAGAUUCUGAAAUUUUCCUUGCAUCAUUUGUAGCACAUAUCAUCAAUAGAAUUUGGGAAAGAAUUACUAAUACCCCACCAAAAUAGGAAUUUCAUUCAUAACUUCCAGGCAAAAACACGAUGAAUGAAGAGAUGGCUUGAAGUUUCAAAUCUUCUUUUACAAAACAUACAUCUAGCUUGCUGAAGAGAAAAGAAAUCAUGCUGAAACAAGAAAUCACCGAUGAAGACUUUAUCUUGGAUAAGCAGCCAAAGAAACAAUUGAACUCUUUUUUUUUUUUUUGGGGGGGGGGGGGGUAACGAUACUAAAAACCGAAAAGGUUAUACACCACCGUAAAGCAAUUAAUCCAAGAAAUGGGAACUGGAUUUUACUGUAUAAAAACCAUUUUACUAUGCAACAAAUUUUUUUUAGGGAUAACGUCAAAAUUUUGUUAUAAAUUAAAAAAUUAAUGAAAUUUUCUAUUUUAGUGAACAUCAUUAAAAUUUUCAUUAGAUCUUAAAAAGUGAUGAAAUCUUGUAUCUUAAGGGAUUAACGUCAAAGUUUUUAUUAAAAUUCAAGAAAUUACAAAAUCUACUAUUUUUAGGAAUUAAUAUAAAAAAUUUAAUAAAAUCUCCUAUUUUAGAGAUUGGUUUUUAUAACCGUGGAGAUUAUAUAUAUACAUAGCAAGGCUAGUGUCAUAAAAUGACAAGCUAUGGACUCUUUGGUUUUUAGGGAUGAGAAUAAUUUUUACAAGUUUUUUAUUCUAAGAAACCGGUGUCUAUUCUUAAAUAAAUUAUAAAUAAAAAUAUAAUAGCAUAAAAUAAUUUAGAAAAACAUAAACAAUGAUAAUUUUUUAUUUAAAAGGUUAUAGUAAAGGUGAUGUUAACCUAAUAUCUGAAUCUUUAAAAAUCCCCAACAAUUUUAGAAUUUCUAAUUUUCUUUGAUUAUUAGGUUUCGACUCUCUUCGUUGCAUUGGUCACGGUGUGUUGCUAAAAUUAACAUCAUGUUUUACUAUCGUUGCACUACAAAAAACAGAAAACAACAUGUAAUGGCUCUUCAAAAUAUAUUUAACGACACUUUUAGUGUCGCUAAAUAUUUUCAAUCUGCAACAGAAUUAUCACAAAUGGUCACUAUAUAUAGUGUCAUAAUUAAGUUAUGCAGUGACACCGAACCCCCUAUAAAAAGAUUGAAGAUCCAAUUUAAUAAUCUGAGGAAUUGAAAAUUAAGGAUUCAAUUUAAUAAUUUAAAGAAAUUUGAUAUGAUUUAUUACUUUCAAAUUAUAUGGACUCGGGUAAAACUUGGUUAAAUAUUAUUGAUUUUUUUUUUUGGAAAAACAAUUUUGGUAAAAAGAUGUCAUUUUAAUCCCUUUAAAUAAAAACUAUUUCAUUGAUGGUAUAUAACUUGCAAGAUAGUAUAGACAUUCAUUACAAGUUAGUUGGGGAUUGUUGGUGUAAUUUAUAAAUGAAUAAAAAAAGAAAUGAUGUCUAUCCCAAAUUAGAAAAAAACACUCCCUCUUAAUGUUUGUAAUUAAGUGUGGGUUUCUAUUGUGUAGUAAAUUAAAUCAUGAUAGAAGAACUCUCCUAGUGGGCUUUCUAAUAUUAUUAUAUAGAUAUUUAUAAUAUCAAAAGAUGACACUUGGAACUUGGAACUUAAUAUAUCAGUGAGAUUAAUUCACCAUUGAAUUAAUUCUCGUAAUUAAUUAUGACAUUUGUGACUGUUGAGAUAAAACUGAAUAAUAAUUAUUCGAUUUAAUUUAAAGUGUAACUCUUUUAUGAACAAUCAUAUUGUUUAAUCAAUAGUCGUACCGUUUCAUCAGCAGUCAUGCCGUUUCAUCAGCAAUCAUAUUAUUUCAUGAACAAUCAUAUUGUUUCAAGUCUAUAAAAACAUGUUACUACACAAAAAAAUCAUAUACAACAAAAAUAUAUAUUCUUUUCUUGGUCUCAUCUUCUCAUUCUUUUAGAGGACUUAGGCUGUGUUUGUUUUCCGCUAGCUUUUGCGCUUGCGGUGAAACCAACGCAGCAAGGUGUUUGGUAAAAACCAAACUAUGUUUUAUGUUGCGAGGCCCACUAAAAAAUUGAGUUUGAAAAACAGUUUUUACAUGUUUUUUUAACUGAGUUUCGUAAAAAUUCCUAAAACCCUAUUUGUUUUGCAUUUCAAAAGCGCUUUUGAAAAAAAUUAAAAAAUUUUAUUUUUUUCUUUACUUCAAAUUAAUAUUUUUUUAUGUUUUCAGAUCAUUUUGAUGUGCUGAUAUCAAAAAUAAUUUUUUAAAUAUAAAAAAAUAUUAUUUUAAUAUAAAAGACACUUUGAAAAGCAACCGCAACCACACUCUCAAACACAACUAUCAAAUAUUUUAUACAUGUUUUUUGUUACACAUAAACUUCAACCAUAUUUUUUACCAAACACGUAUCUAAAUCUAACUAAUCACAGCAAACUGCAUAUUUUUAAAUUUUUUUUUUUCAAAUCACAAUCACAAAAUUAUCUAAAACACAAACAUUUAAAAUAAACACUUUAAAAACAAUAUUUUCACACCUUUAAGCUACCUUCCUAUUUGUUUCCAUUCUAAAUAUUUUCAAGAGUACAUGUACCCUGUUGCUGUUUAAACAGAAAAAGAAGAAGAGGGGGGACAAAUAUGCAGUUCCUUAGAAAAAUAAAAAUACGGCAUUCAUCUGUACUUGGGUUUGAAAUAAGACAUCUUGGCUAUUUGGUUGCUCAAUGAUCCACUUCUUACUAACUUCUGCAACUUACUAGCCUCUGUCAAAAAGGGUUGCUCUGCUCUACUUUUUUCCUGCAGAAAGAAGAAGAAGAAGAAGAAGAAGAAGAAGAAAGGAAGGUGAUUGAGUCCAGACAAUAUGAAUCCUUUCCUCCAGAAAAUCUUGCUCAUUUCUUGGCCUUUUCACACCCAUUGAAAGGAGCUCCAAUCACACAAACCAGCAAUCCUUCCAAACUUUUUCACAUGAUCAGCACACGCAACUGAUAUCCACACAGCCCCAGAGCCUGUAGCUGCCGCCAACAAAACCCCAGCAUCCUCUCCAUGAAUAAACCAAAACACAUCCCUGCCACCCCCUGCUUAUCCACUAAUAACUCCUUAAACUACCCAGAUACAUGACUUCCAUUUUUAGACCCAAAAAUCAAAGAUCAAUAUCAAACCCCAGUCCCUGCUAUGAAAACAGGAUAAAAUCACCUGAUCUCAAAAACCCAGAUAGAUAGAUGCUUGUUUAUAGUUCCAUUACACAAGAGCUAAUUGGUUACUACUUUUGGUUUGGGUAAAUUAGUUUGGAUGGACAGAUAUAUAUUACCGUGAUCCAGUUUGGAAGAUCAGUGGAAUAACAUAAAAUGAAGAGAAGAAAUAGAGAAGCAGAUGAGAAGCAGGAAUUUCAGUAGAAUGCUAUAAUCAGUUGUCCAUAUCAGAUACAUUUCAGUAGAAACUACAGCAUUCUUAACCUAAGGUCAGUAUCAAUCCAAAAUAAUUGCUAUAAAUCGAAGAAGAAAUUACUUUCCACAAAUAAUAAUCCUUAGCCUAGAACUCGGUAGAAUUGAAAAGCACGAGUGUUUCACCUUUGGAACUCAAAAUGGCAUGUCAUUCUCAGUAGAAACAUACAACCAGGAAAAGCCAUCCGCAGUAAGUAACCCCUGACCGAGACUAGACUGAAAAGUUCAAUAAUAUAGGGACUGAAUUGAAAUGUUAGAAACAGUACAGGGACUGUAACAAAAUUCAACCCUCAUCACCAAACCCCAAGUACAUAAACUAACCCUCUCUCUUCAUUUCACAACCAGCAGCCUCCUUCCCCUCACACUCUCCUCUCUCUCUCUCUCAGUUCAUCCUAUCAUCAUUAUCUCUUUUUUAAAAAUAAAAUUAAACCAAACAGAAAAAUGGCAGAGGCACUUUUAUCGCCAAUUUUGGAGCAGUUAACCACGGUCGUUGCUCAACAGGUAAUUACUUUUAUACAAUUUGCAAUGAUCUAAUUAACCCUUACAUGAAUAAGAAAUAUAAAAAUUUAAGUCUUUUUUUUCUUCCAUAAUCUUAUUAUAGACUUUACAAAUACCAACAAAUACAGAUUCUUUUAUUCACUUUCCUUUUAUUCCUUUUAUAUAUUCUUUGAUCCGCCAAGCUUAUGUUAUAUAUAGGUUUGACGUCGAACAAUUUAAGAUUUAUUUUUUUCCUUCUUGUAUAGUAGCAGAGUGCAGACAGAGAUAUCAUCACGAUCAUGAUAAAAAGAAAUAUUAUUAUUUUUAAUAUAUAGGUUCUUCAUAAAUAUUUUAUAUAUAAAUUUAUAAUAUAGCCAAUCCAAUUCACUGUACGUGUGAACUAUGCGGAAAAAAGAUUAAUAAAAAUUAUUUAAUCUAUUAAUUACCAAAAAUUAAAAUUAAAAACUUGUAGUGAAAUCAUAGAACUGUUUCCUCUGCUUGAACUUUCUGAUCUUUUCUACACCAAUAGGUACAGGAAGAGGUGAGCCUAGUAGGGGGUGUGAAGAAACAAGUCGACAAGCUGAAAAGCAAUCUCAUUGCUAUCCAAUCUGUCCUUGAAGACGCAGAUAGAAAACAAGUGAAGGAUAAGGCUGUAAGAGAUUGGGUAGACAAGCUCAAAGAUGUAUGUUAUGAUAUGGAUGACGUGCUAGAUGAAUGGAGCUCAGCAAUUCUUACUUGGAAAAUGGAGGAAGCUGAAGAAAAUACUCGCAGCCUACAGAAGAUGCGAUGUUCCUUCCUGGGAUCUCCUUGCUUUUGUCUCAAUCAAGUGGGUCGACGUCGAGACAUUGCCCUCAAGAUCAAAGAAGUAUGUGAAAAAGUGGAUGACAUUGCGAAAGCGAGAGCUAUGUAUGGCUUUGAGUUGUACAGGGCCACUGAUGAACUCCAACGAAUAACAAGUACCUCCCUUGUUGAUGAAUCAAUCGUGACUGGUCGAGAUGAUGAAAGGGAAGCUGUAGUAAGCAAGUUGCUGGGCGAAAGUAUUCAGGAAGCAGGGGACGUGGAGGUCAUCUCUAUAGUAGGGAUGGGCGGGAUUGGAAAGACAACUCUCGCCCAACUAGCUUUUAAUGAUGCUGAGGUUACGGCUCAUUUUGAGAAGAUAUGGGUGUGUGUUUCAGAUCCAUUUGAUGAGGUUAGGAUAGGCAAAGCUAUCCUCGAGCAGCUUGAAGGGAGGGCACCGGAUUUGGUUGAAUUGCAAUCCCUUUUGCAAAGGGUUUCUGAAUCCAUUAAGGGAAAGAGGUUCCUUCUUGUCCUAGAUGAUGUCUGGACAGAAAAUCAUGGACAAUGGGAACCACUGAAACUCUCUCUCAAAGGCGGUGCACCAGGAAGCAGAAUUCUAGUGACCAGUCGUAAACAUUCUGUGGCAACCAUGAUGGGAACCGACCACAUGAUCAACCUUGAGAGACUGUCUGAUGAGGUAUGCAGGUCAAUAUUCAAUCACGUGGCAUUCCAUAAAAGAAGCAAAGAUGAGUGCGAAAGAUUGACAGAAAUCAGCGAUAAAAUUGCAAACAAGUGCAAGGGAUUGCCUCUAGCUGCCAAGGUAUUAGGAGGUCUAAUGCAGUUUAAAAGAACAAGAGAAGAGUGGGAACAUGUUUUAUCUAGCGAACUGUGGGAGCUAGAACAUGUUGAAAGAGGACUAUUUCCACCUUUGCUUUUAAGUUACUACGAUUUACCUUCUGUGGUAAGACGAUGUUUCUUGUAUUGUGCCAUGUUUCCAAAAGACUACGAGAUGGUCAAAGAUGAAUUGGUGAAGAUGUGGAUGGCUCAAGGUUACCUUAAGGAGACUCCAAGUAGAGAUAUGGAGCUUGUUGGAGAGGAGUACUUUCAAGUCUUAGCAGCGCGCUCUUUCUUCCAAGAUUUUAAGACGGAUGAGUUUGAAGGAAUGAAAUUCAAGAUGCAUGAUAUAGUGCAUGAUUUUGCCCAAUAUAUGACAAAAAAUGAAUGUCUAACAGUGGAUGCCAGUAAACUUGGAGAAGCAACAACAGAGAUUUCAUGUGAAAGGGUUCGUCAUUUAAGCAUGAAGUUAUCAGGGGAGACCUCUUUUCCGGCGUCCAUUCGCAAAGCAAAAGGUCUUCGCAGCCUCUUGAUAGGCAGUAGAGACCCUUCGCUUGGAGCUGCACUACUUGAUGUAUUCAAGCAGUUGACAUGCAUCAGGUCAUUGAAUUUGUCAUGGUCUUCAAUCAAAGAAAUACCAAAGGAGGUAGGGAAAUUGAUACAUUUGAGACACCUCAAUUUGGCAGAUUGUGGAGAGUUGGAGUCCCUGCCAGAAACCACGUGUGAUUUAUGCAAUCUGCAAUCCCUAGACGUUACGUGGUGUCGUUCUCUUAAGGAAUUACCUAAGGCUAUUGGAAAACUUAUCAAAUUGAGGCAUCUCCAGAUUUAUGGUUCAGGUGUGGCCUUCAUACCAAAGGGAAUAGAGAGGAUAACAUGUCUUCGAACAUUAGAUGGGUUUACUGUGUGUGGUGGUGGUGAGAAUGAAAGUAAAGGAGCUAAUCUAAGAGAAUUAAAAAACUUAAAUCUCAUUGGAGGGAGUUUUAGUAUACGGAAUCUAGGAGGAGGUAUAGAAGAUGCGAGUGACGCUGCAGAAGCACAACUCAAGAAUAAGAAGCGCCUGCUUUGUUUGGAAUUGGGUUUCGACUACAACCAGGAGAACGGCAUUUUAAUUGAAGCUUUACAGCCUCCGUCAGACUUGGAAUAUCUAACCAUAUCUAGUUACGGAGGGUUGGAUUUGCCAAAUUGGAUGAUGACAUUGACCAGAUUACAGGUGCUUACACUCCGUUAUUGUGAAAACGUGGAGGUCUUGCCUCCGUUGGGAAGAUUGCCCAACCUUGAAAGCCUGGUAUUGAGCUCGUUGAAGGUGAGAAGGCUGGAUGCUAGAUUUUUAGGUAUAGAAAAGGCUGAGAAUGCCAGUAUUGAUGAAGGAGAAAUUGCAAGGGUCACUGCUUUCCCCAAAUUAAAAAAACUUUGGAUUGAGGGUCUCGAAGAAGUAGAAGAGUGGGAUGGAAUUGAAAUGAGAGUAGGAGAAGAAGAUGCCAACACAACUUCAAUAUCCAUUAUGCCACAACUUCGAGAGUUGAAAAUUCAUAAAUGCCCAUUGCUGAGAGCACUACCAGACUAUGUUUUGACAGCGUCAUUACGGGUGUUUGAACUCGAUGAUUGUACAAACAUGGAGGUCUUGCCUCCGUUGGGAAGAUUGCCCAACCUUGAAAGCCUGGCAUUGAGGUCGUUGAAGGUGAGAAGGUUGGAUGCUGGAUUUUUAGGUAUAGAAAAAGAUGAGAAUGCCAGUAUUAAUGAAGGAAAAAUUGCAAGGGUCACUGCUUUCCCCAAAUUAAAAGAGCUUGGCAUUAGUUAUCUCGAAGAAGUAGCAGAGUGGGAUGGAAUUGAACGGAGAGUGGGAGAAGAAGAUGCCAACACAACUUCAAUAUCCAUUAUGCCACAACUUCGAGAUUUGAUGAUUGUUAAUUGCCCAUUGUUGAGAGCACUACCAGACUAUGUUUUGGCAGCGCCUCUACAGGAAUUAUUCUUUAGUGGUUGCCGCAAUCUAAGGAAACGUUACGGGAAGGAGGAGAUGGGUGAAGAUUGGCAAAAGAUUUCUCACAUCCCAAACAUUUAUUUUCAUGAUAUAUAGGUGAGAAAGACAGAAUUCUUUAAUUAGAACCGGCAGGAACCGGUAAAUUCUUCUAUUUUACUGUAUUUUAACAAAUCUAUUUUCGGCUCUCCAUUUUUUCAUUAAUGUAAUUUAAUUCAAAAAUAAGUGAAAAAUACAAAUUAAUUAAUUAAUCAUUUGUUGAAUUGGAUAUAAUUAUGUCUUUCCCUUUCUCCUCAUUCAUUUAAACAUAUAUAAUCAACCUUAAUAUUUUUAUAUCAUUAUCACAACAAUAAUUUCAUCAUAUUAGUUGGAAUUCAUGAUAAUCUUUAUUAACUAAUCAAUUUGUUAAAAAUAUACUUAUAGCUAGUCUUAAAUAUAUUUUAUUUUUCAAAUUUCUUUUAUUUUAUAAAAAAUACACAAUUAAUCUAUAAUCAUUCUUCCCUUCAUAUAAAGAAUACACAAUUAAUCUACAACAAUAUUAAUAAUAAGAACGUAUUUUACCAUUACAUCUUCUAUAAACCUUAACACCCACACAAUUUUAAUUUCAUCAAAACAUAUAUUUAAUCAAGUUUUUCUAAAUUUUGUCAAAACUAGCAAUAGAUUCAAAAAGUAAUAAGUCAUUCAUCUUAUAUUUUAUUUUCAAAACCAACGGUCAAAAUAUAGAUCUCGAAAUUGUGCACAAUAUAUCUCAAAAUCAAAAAUAUCUAACAGUUGAAUCUCCCUAGAUCUGAAUAAAACCAAGCUAACUUGAAAAUUAACGAGCUAUUGUUCAACAUAAACGACACCUUACCGGAGAGUGUGUUUCCUAUCUCCACCGUCCAGAAUGAAGACAAUAUUUAGGCGCACCACAUAUCCAAAAAUAGAUAUGAUCCAACGGUGGAAGAGAGAGAAAUCAGUCGGCGACCAAAACUUCCCUGCAAGUGUAUUUUCUUUUGUUUUCUAGGAAAUUUCCGAUGAUGAUUUCCGUCAAACGGAUUGUGUGCUUUCAAAUCCCUCCGAUCAGUUAGUACAGGAGAAUGAGAAGAACAAUAUAUCCACAAAUCAGCAUGAUUCAACGGUGUUUGCCAGAGAUAUGGUCACCAGCUCCUUCAAAUUCUACACUUCUCUUUCUAGCCGAAUUUGCUCUAUUGUCUCUCACCUCUUUUUAUUUUGGACUGGUUGGCUGCUAUUUUAAAGGCAUAUUUUUCAUUAAUUAAAAUUGUGUUCCUUAUUUAUGCUUUUAUGUAUUUUAUUUUAUUUUUCAUGUAAACUAUCCGGUUUGUUUCUGCUUAAAUCACUAGUCUUUACCGAACUCUGAUUGGGAUGAGUUCUUUAACAAAGUUAGGAAAACAUAUUAAUAGAUUUCAUGCAAAAUUACAUUCCAAUUCAACGAUUGGAUUGAAAGGUCUUCUUUCUAACGUAAUACUAGUUAAUUCAUAACUUUUCAUUGACCAUCUAGAUUUUAUUUGAAGCAACCCAAAGAAAAUGGAAUGCUCCUUUUAACAUUUACCUUUCAUUGGAUUGUUUUGGUUAUGACACGUUUGCUUCUGGUCUGUAUUUGGCAGCUUGGGCUUAGAAGAUACUUCAGAGCUACUUCAGAGGGGGUUCCGAUUUGGUCCUGCGUUGUGAUUUACUUCUUUGAGUGUAUUAAUUAUUUAUUAUUGAAGUAAGGAGAAAGGAAUUGAAUUUAGAAUGCUAAAAGUAAGCCAUGGGGGCAGCUGAAGCACAGAGGUAGUAAUUAAGCAAGUAAUCUAGCUAGAUUGCUGCCCUUGGAAGUUAUUAGUGUCACUUCCAAUGCAAGUUCUCUACAAUUUUUAAUCUUUGUAUGAAGGCUUCAUGCAUGAAAUAAUUUAUUGCUGGAGGAGGAGCAGGGGCCCUAGCUGCUGUUUAAUACCGAGGCACUUUGUAAUUUUUAAAAAUGUUUUAUUUUUAUUUUUAUCUAAAGAUAUAUUAAAAUAUCUUCUUAGAUUUGUUUUUAUUUUUUAUACUAAUACAUUAAAAUUAUAAAAAAACAUUAAAAAUAUAUUAAUUUGAUUUUUUUUAAGCCAAGUGCACUUUUAAUUUAAAAUACUUCUAGACAUAAUUUCAAACGUAAAAACAAAAAGAUUUAUGAAUCUUAUCAGCCCCAAGGUUGUGUGGUGCAGUUAUUAUUGUAAUGUAGAUACAUUUUUUUAAAUCAAUAUGUUUGUAAAAUCUAAAAGUUAACUCUUUAUUUAAAUUAUUUAAAUAACAUGAUAUGAGAUAUCAUGCAUAAUUAUUAGAUUAAUUAAUUCUAAAAAUUUAAUUAAUUAAUUCUGAAAUUAACAAUAAAAAUUAUUUAUGUUGCAUAAUGUAAAUUGUCAAAUCUUUUUUUUUUAACAUCUAAAUCUAUUGAGUUAAUGUAACUCGUAUAUAAAACUAUAUUUUAACAACAAAUUUUGUCCAUGCUUUUCUCAGAGGGAAGAUUGUUAAAGAGUUCAACUAAACCAUGAAAAAAAAAAUUCACGUAAUACCCAGAAGUAAAAAUCGAGGGACUUUUCGUUUCUUAUUCUUCGGUGUUUUUUUUUUUUUUUUUUUUUUUUCUUUCAUUUUUGUGAUUUCUUCUUCUUCUUGUUCUCUAAUGGUGUCUUCUUUAUCGAUCUUGUAUACGCUGAAAUUUAGACUGUGUUUGGAAAUGAGAUGUAAAUCAUGUCUCUAAAAUUUUGAGUUUUUUUUUUUGUUUAAAAUGAAUUGUUUUUUAUAUGUUUUCAUAUUUGAUGUGCUGAUGUCAAAAAUAAUUUUUAAAAAAUAAAAAAACUUUUAUUUUGAUGCAUUUCUAAUCGAAAAACACUUUGAACCCACACCACUACCACAAUCGCAAACAAGCCCUUAGCUUGGGUUUCGAAUGCGGGACGGCGUUGCGUCAAUACCAAGAGUGUUUUUUUUUUUUUUUUAGAAUUUUCAAAUUAAUUUUCUUUUUAAAAAUGGUAAUUAAAUUACUUGUUUUUAUGAUUUUAAUGUAUUAAUAUGAAAAAUAAAAAAAAUCUAAAAGACAUUAUUAUCUCAAUAUAUUUUAAAUAAAAAAAAACUUUAUACGCCCCUUGUAGACUCAGGUAAAAAGUUAUUUUUUAAAAAAGAAAUAAUUUAAUAAAAAAAAUAUUAUUUGAUUUUCUUUUAAAAAUAAUUAAACUUACAAACUCUAACCUUUUUUUGAGUCUGUUUGUCUACACGGCAAUUGUAGGACCCACAAAAAAUAGGUAGAAACACAAUUUCAUGAGAAGCAUCUUGCACCAGCUUCGACGACACUAUUAACUUUUGUUAAGUGAAAUAGUGCAGAGUGAAUUAAUUCACUCUGCACACAAAAAUGAACACGUGAACAGUAAAAAAAAUCUGAUUUUUUAUUUGAAAAAUUAGUGUUUAACAUUAUUUAAUGACACUACAUAAAUUAGAAGGAGAUCGCAUGAUGGCGUAACAUUUGCAUAAUUUUAUCGUAAUCCCAAUUUGUUUCUAAUGAUUUUUUAUCUAAUUUUGUUGUACGCUCAAAAAACCAUGAAAACUAUAGUCCUUGUAGGAUGAAUUUUGUAUGUGAUGGAAUUGUAGAUAGUUUAAUGGAACAAUAAUUUUUUUUUAUAUAAAAUAUUAUUUAUUUCAUAGUAUAAUAGCAGUAGUUAAAUCUAUAAUAUUUAAAUUAAAAACCAUUAAUAUUAAUAUAUAUCACCAAACACAUUAAAUAACUUUUUGUUCAACCUCAAUUUCAAUUACAAUUUUAACCAAAUAUAUAUAAAAAUAUCAAACCAACCUCAACCAAAAAUAUUUUUUAUAAAAUAAUUUUUUUCAAACAACAAUCAUAAAAAUUACUACAAUACAAAACACACUCAAAGUAAAGUUUUAAAAAUUAUGGUUAAAACUGGUUCAAGGCCUUCAUUGAGCCCAAUGUGAAGAGGCCCAACCUAGCGUCAUAAAAGCCCAAUAGUCUCUUCUCCGCCACCACCAGGCCAUGCCAUUUAUAUAAGCAAACGAAUAUGCUGCGAAGAGCUUAGGCCUGAAAACGGGAGAAAAGUUUGACACUGCUUUGUCUCCUAAAUAGACACCGGAUGACUAUUACACCCUUGUUAUGGUUUCUGAUUCAGCGAAAAGGAGGGUAUUACGGUAAUUGGAACAACUUGAAUCGAGAAUCUGAACCGCUGUAUUCCUCCGCAAAGAAGCACACACUAUUGAUAACUCGGCCAACUCGGUUGAUUACUCAAUGUAAUUAAUUAUAGCCUUAUUUUGAAUCACCAGCUUGCUACAAGUCUUCAAGCUUUGAAAUGACUGGUGGCGUACCACUAUUCCACUGGUAAGGAAAAGAAAUCUCUUCAAAGUCACCAAGGAACUCUUUUUUUAGACAAUAGUGGAGAUUUUAUUAAAAAUUUUGGCUAAAAUGAGAAUAGCCUGAUAAAAAAAAAAAGCAACAACAGAGAAGAUAAAAUAAAGAAGAUAUAAAAGCAACCAUCUAGUAGAUGGUCCAGUGAUAAGAGCUUGAAACUAAAUAUGCUUCUUCUGUGGUCUCAGGUUCGAGCCAUGAAGUUGUUAAUAUUGAUGGUCACUUGAAACUUACCUGGUCGUUAAUUUCAAGAUUUAUGAGGAUUAGUUGAGGUGCGCACAAUCUGAGCCGAACAACACACAUUAAUAAUAAUAAAAAAAGACCAAACAAUAAAUAAAAACUAGAAAUCAACUUCUGUUAUCCUCCAAAAAAUCCCGUUAUAGUUGAUCCCUAAAUCAAAUCGGUGUAAGCAAAAGUUGUGCUAUCAAACUUCAAGCAUAAAGAGGACCUAUGGACGACCAAGUAAAAAUAACCUUGAAAAUCUGGAGUCAUUGAAGAUUACAUCAUUUUGAUGUAGCCAUAGACUCCACGCAAUACAAGAAAAGAGAAGUCGUCAUGAAAGAUUAUGAAAUUUUCCUUGCACCAUUGGGAGCACAUAUUAUCAAUAAAAAUUGAGAAACAACCACUAAUAUCCCCAUCAAGAUAAAAAUUCCAUCCAUAACUUCCAGGAAAAAACACAUUGAAUAAAGAGAUGGCUUGAAGUAUCAAAACUUCUUUUACAAAACACCCAUCUAGCUUGCUGAAGAGAAAUGAAAUCAUGCUGGAACAAAAAAUCAUGUGUGAAGACUUUAUCUUGAAAAAGUAGCCAAAGAAACAAUUAAACUUUUCUUUUUUUAUUUUUUAUUUUUUGGGGAGGGGGGGUUUUAGGUUGAACACCACUAUAAAGCAAUAGAUCCAAGAGAUAUAAAGCAAUAGAUCCAAAAGAGAUGGAAACUGGAUUUUAUUGUACAAAGACCAUUUUACUAUACAGCAAAAAAUUAAUAGCAUUCAUAUCUAUUGUCAUGAUUAAUUAAGUAUUGAAAAAAAUAUCAAGAAAAAUAAUAUCAUAACAAAUAGAGAGUUCAAAAUUUUUGUUAAAAUUCAAAAGAAUGGUGAAAUGUCCUAUUUUUAGGGAUAAUGUCAAAAAUUUCACUAAAUUUAAAAAAGUGAUGAAAUUUCAAAUCAUCAGGGAUUAACAUCAUUUUUGUUAAAUUAUUUUUUUAUUUUAAAUUAAUAUCUUUUUGAUAUUUUUAAAUCAUUUUGAUGUGCUGAUGUCAAAAAUAAUUUUAAAAAAUAAAAAUAUAUUAUUUUAAUGUGUUUUAGAAUAAAAAAUACUUUAAAAAACAACUACUACCAUACUAUAUAGUGUCAUAAUUAAGUUGAUGCAGCGAAAUCAAACCCCCUAUAAAAAAAGAUUAAAGAUCCAAUUUAAUAAUUUGAUGAACUGAAAAUUAAGGAUUCAAUUUAAUAAUUUCAAGGAAUUUGAUAUGAUCUAUUACUUUCAAAUUAUAUGUAAUCUUCUUUUUUUUUUAAUGAAAAAGAGGUUUGAAUUCAAGAUUUUCUAGAUAGAAAAAUGCCAAUAUCAUUGAAGUUACAACUCAUUGAAGAUAGUUCAAUGCAUAUGAUAAUUAGAAAACUUGUUAUCCAUUAAUGCUAACAAGAUGAUCAAACUUGGAAAAUCAGUUUUUAUACAGUUGAUAAAUAAACCUGGUCCUCGAAGAACCUGCUUUCAAGUCUCGUUAAGGAACGUUUGGGAACGCGGUUGCGGUUGCGUUCCUAAAAAAUUUAAAAUUUUUUUUUCUAAAAUUUAAUAUGAUUUAUAUGUUUUGGAUCGUUUUGAUAUGCUGAUGUUAAAAAUAAUUUUUAAAAAAUAAAAAAACAUCAUUGACAUGCAUUUUAGCACAAAAAUUUAUUUGAAAAGCACCCACAACAACACUGUCAAACACGCUCGAAUUGCUUAGCCUGCAAGAACCCUAAUUCCCGCAAGAACCCUGCUUUGAAGUUUUUCAAUUGCAUGAGUUGCUUUUAUUUCCUCUGUCAUUCCCAUUUUCUUUGUUUAUCAUUUACUCCUCUAAUGGUCAUCCAAUCUUCUCUUUACUUCAGGUAUAUACGUACAUCACAUCAAUUUCAUUUUUCAACCUACAAGUUGUGCUCUCCCUUUACCACAGCCCUACAAAAACUAAUAAAAAAAUGAGACACUAAAAUACAAGCUUCACUAGUAAAAAAAGCUACAAGUUGCAAGAACUCCACCUGCAACACCAAACCCUAAGUAUAUAAUUAAACUAACUUCCAUUCACAAUCAGCCGCCUCCUUCCCUUCACCCUCUCUUUCUCUCUGCUCAUCCCAUCAUCAUUGCUUCUCUCUCUCUCUCUCUCUCUCUCUCUCCAAGCAGAACUAAACAGACGAUGGCCGAGGCACUUGUAUCUCCGAUCUUGGAGCAGUUAACCACGAUCGUUGUUCAAAAGGUAUUUUUCUACCAUCUGCAAUAACCUGAUUUACCUAGCAGGGAUAAGAAAUAUAAAGGUCAAGCCUUUUUUCUUCCUAUCAUAAAAAGAAUACUUUUAACUUGAAUAAAUAAAAAUAAUAUUUUAAAUCCUCAAGUAUAUAUUUGGAUUUCAUUAAAGAAUCUUCCUUUUCUUGUUUUAUUAUUUUUCAUAUUUCCAAAUAUAAUCUAAAGAAGAGUAGAGUUGCCAAUUCUCUUUAAACUAACUAUUAAGGGUAAAAUAAUCAAUAAAAAGUUCAAAGGAUUAGCGAGUGAGUAUUUGGUGUGAAUUAAAACUAUAUAGUUAACACACAAUCUUAUUAUCAUGGCUUUAUUUCUAAAUUGACUUCACAAAUAUAUACAUGCAGAUCCUUUUAUUCACUUGCCUUUAUACAUCCAUAUAUCUAUAGUUUAAUGUAAAAUGAAAACCAGAUUUUAUACCGGUUCAAAGGAGAAAUCCUUCUCUCGUGAGAACAUUGAACUCUUUCCAUGCCUAUAUUAUUAAUUAUAUAUAUAUAUAUACACGUACAGGUUUAACGUUUUACGAUUUAAGAUUCAUUUUAUACCUUCUUGUACAGUAGCAUAGUGCAUACUGAUAUCAUCAUAAUGAUGAUAAAAAGAAAAAAGAAAUAUUAUUAUUUCUAAUAAAUAUUUUUUAUAUAAAUUAUUAAUAUAGUCAAUCCAUUUCACAAUAAAAUAUAUUAAUACAAAAUUAAUAGAAAUGUUUCCUAUGCUUGAACUUCCUUGUCUUUUCUACACUAAUAGGUACUGGAAGAGGUGAACCUAGUAGGGGGUGUGAAAUUGUCUUAAAAUCACAGAGAUGUUUCCUAUGCUUAACUUUUCUUUUCCUUUGUAAACUAAUAGGUACAAGAAGAGGUGAACCUAGUAGUGGGUGUGAAGAAAGAAGUCGACAAGCUGAAAAGCAAUCUCCUUGAUAUCCAAUCUGUCCUUGAAGAUGCAGAUAGAAAACAAGUGAAGGAUAAGGCUGUAAGAGAUUGGGUAGACAAGCUCAAAGAUGCAUGUUAUGAUAUGGAUGACGUGCUAGAUGAAUGGAGCACUGCAAUUCUUAGAUGGAAAAUGGAGGAAGCUGAAGAAAAUACUCACAGCCGACAGAAGAUACGAUGUUCCUUCCUGAAAUCUCCUUGCUCUUGUCUCAAUCAAGUGGUUCGACGUCGCGACAUUGCCCUUAAGAUCAAAGAAGUUAGUGAAAAAGUGGAUGACAUUGCUAAAGAGAGAGCUAAGUAUGGCUUUGAUCUGUACAAAGCCACUGAUGAACUCCAGCGACUAACAACUACCUCCUUUGUUGAUGAAUCAAGCGUGAUUGGUCGAGAUGGUGAAAAGAGAAAUGUUGUAAGCAAGUUGCUGGCUGAAAGUAGUCAAGAAGCACGGGACGUGGAAGUCAUCUCUCUAGUAGGGCUGGGCGGAAUUGGAAAAACAACUCUCGCCCAGCUAGCUUUUAAUGAUUCUGAGGUUACGGCUCAUUUUGAGAAAAAGAUAUGGGUGUGUGUUUCAGAACCAUUUGAUGAGGUUAGAAUAGCCAAAGCUAUCCUUGAGCAGCUUGAAGGGAGACCAACGAAUCUGGUUGAAUUGCAAUCCCUUUUGCAAGGGGUUUCUGAAUCCAUCAAGGGAAAGAGGCUCCUUCUUGUCCUUGAUGAUGUCUGGACAGAAAAUCACGGACAAUGGGAAAAACUGAAACCAUCUCUCACAGGCUGUGCUCGAGGAAGCAGAAUUCUAGUGACCACUCGUAAGGACGCUGUGGCAACGAUGAUGGGAACUGACCACCGGAUCAACAUUGAGAAAUUGUCUGAUGAGAUAUGCAGGUCAAUAUUCAAUCACGUGGCAUUCCAGGAAAGAAGCAAAGAUGAGCGCGAAAGAUUGACAGAUAUCGGCGAUAAAAUUGCAAACAAGUGCAAGGGCUUGCCUCUAUGUAUGGACAGAAAAUCAUAGACAAUGGGAACAACUGAAACCAUCUCUCAAAGGCAGUGCACCAGGAAGCAGAAUUCUAGUGACCACUCGUAAACAUUCUGUGGCAACGAUGAUGGGAACUGACCACCUUUGCUUUUGAGUUACUACGAUUUACCUUCUGUGGUAAGACGAUGUUUCUUGUAUUGUGCCAUGUUUCCAAAAGACUACAAGAUGCGCAAAUAUGAAUUGGUGAAGAUGUGGAUGGCUCAAGGUUACCUCAAGGAGACUUCAGGUGGAGAUAUGGAGCUUGUUGGAGAGCAGUACUUUCAAGUCUUAGCAGCGCGCUCUUUCUUCCAAGAUCUUAAGGCGUAUCAAGAAGUUAUCAGAUUCAAGAUGCAUGAUAUAGUGCAUGAUUUUGCCCAAUAUAUGACAAAAAAUGAAUGUCUAACUGUGGAUGUCUAUACACUUGGAGAAGCAACAAUGGAGACUUCAAUUGAAAGGGUUCGUCAUUUAAGCAUGAUGCUGUCACAGGAGACCUCUUUUCCCAAGUUCAUUCAGAAAGCAAAAGGUCUUCGCAGCCUCUUGAUCGACACUUGAGACCCUUCACUUGGAGCUGCACUACCUGAUCUAUUCAAGCAGUUGACAUGCAUCAGGUCAUUGAAUUUGGCAAGGUCUCGAAUCAAAGAAAUACCAAACGAGGUAGGGAAAUUGAUACAUUUGAGACACCUCAAUCUGGCAUCUUGUAUGGUGUUGGAGUCCCUGCCAGAAACCAUGUGUGAUUUAUGCAAUCUGCAAUCCCUAGACGUUACUUGGUGUGGUUCUCUCAAGGAUUUGCCUAAUGCGAUUGGAAAACUUAUCAAAUUGAGGCAUCUCCGGAUUGAUGGUUCAGGUGUGGCCUUCAUACCAAAGGGAAUAGAGAGGAUAACAUGUCUUCGAACAUCAGAUAAGUUUCCUGUGUGUGGUGAUGGUGAGAAUGAAAAUAAAGCAGCUAAUCUAAGAAGAUUAAAAAACUUAAAUCACAUUGGAGGGAGUCUUGAGAUACAGAAUCUAAGAGGAGGUAUAGAAGAUGCAAGUGACGCUGCAGAAGCACAACUCAAGAAUAAGAAGCGCCUGCGUCGUUUGGAAUUGUAUUUCGACGAAGAGAAAACAGAGUUGCAAGCGAAUGAAGGCUCUUUAUUUGAAGCUUUACAGCCUCCGUCAGACUUGGAAUAUCUAGCCAUAGGGUUUUACGGAGGGCUGGAUUUGCCAAAUUGGAUGAUGACAUUAACCAGAUUACAGGAGCUUACACUCGAUGUUUGCAAAAACGUGGAGGUUUUGCCUCCGUUGGGGAGAUUGCCCAACCUUGAAAGCCUCCAAUUAAACGUAUUGUUGAAGGUGAGAAGGCUGGAUGGUGGAUUUUUAGGUAUAGAAAAAGAUGAGAAUGCCAGUAUUAAUGAAGGAGAAAUUGCAAGGGUCACUGCUUUCCCCAAAUUAAAAACACUCAACAUUUGGCAUCUCCAAAAAGUAGAAGAGUGGGAUGGAAUUGAAAGGAGAUCAGUGGGAGAAGAAGAUGCCAACACAACUUCAAUAAUAUCCAUUAUGCCACAGCUUCGACUGUUGAGAAUUUUCCUCUUUACUGUUUAUUGUUGACUUUGGAUUGUAUUUCCGACUUACCAUUUAUUGUGUCAUAUACCCCCCCCCCUCUCUCUCUCUCUCUCAACAUAUAUAAAAUAAUAUGUAAUUCAUAUGUAUAUAUUUAAAGAGUAGUUAAGACAGACAGGAAGAGGUAAUUUUUUAUUUAAUUAUUGAAUUAGACUUAAAUUUUACAUGUUAAAAAAAUUAAUCUAAGAUGAUAUUAUCUCGCUCACGUGAAGAUUAUUCCUUACUUAAAUUCUCCAGUGUAGGUCAAUGUUUUUGAUUCUUGACUUUGUUUUUGAUUUACUAAUUCUUGUUUUGUUAACCAAAACAUUUUACCAUUACUUCUUUUGAUAUAUUUAUUUUGUUCAGAGCGGCUUCCGAUUUGGUUCUGCGUUGUGAUUUACUUCUUUGAUUGUAUUAAUUAUUUAUUAUUGAAGUAAGAAGAAAGGAAUUGAAUUUAGAAUGCUAAGUAAGGCAUGGUGGCAGCUGAGGCACAGAGGUAGUAAUAUUAAUACAUUAGAACUAUAAUUUGUUGCUGCCCUUGGAAGGUAUUAGUGUCACUUCCAAUGCAUGGAAUAAUUUACCUGCUUUUUGGUUGAAAUUUGUAUAUUCUUUUUAUGUUAAGUUAGUGUUUCAAAACUAUAAAUUAUAUCUUGUAUUAAGACAAUUCAAUUAUAUUAUGAAGUUGAUUUUGUUAUUAAUACUGCGUUGAACUCUGAUUAAGUUAGGAUAAAUUGUGUAUAAGUUAGGGUUCACAUAGAUAUGAAACCUUGAAAGAAAAUCUUGUUUAUGUACCAGUCAUGGAUCCGGGAUCGUCAUAAAUUUGGUCAGAGACGUCGAAACAUUGCGACUCCAGUAACGUAACAAAGGGAACCAGUCCACCACAGGCUUCCGUCAUUACAUGUUCAAAAAUCUCAGAAAUAAUAUCAUUCAUCAGGUACAGAAAAGAACAUUAUGACCGGUAAGGUAGUUAUAAUUAACUAGAGAUGUAAGGACUCAGAAAUUUAUUACUGUGAAAAGAAGAAACAUUUACCAUCAUUCGAAUUACAGUUAGCCAUCUUUAGCAAGUAAAAAAAGCCAACCCCGUGUAAAGAUAGUUACUGCAACCUCCGAUUCAAUCUAAAUUUGGUGUUUCUUCAUCCUCAAUCUUUUCUGAAAAAUAAGAUAGUGUAUGAAAGAAAGAUUGUAUGACUUAAGAGAGAAGAAACAGGUAAUAUCAUCAUAAGCAUUGAAGUGGCUUCUAGAUGUGUUUUUUGUAAUAAAAGCUUCGAAUUUUCAAGCCACCUCUUCAUCCACUUUGCUUGGAAUCUAUGAAUGAAAUUCCUUACAAAUGGGGUAUUAGCAGUGUUUUCUCAAAAUCUGUUGAUGAUAUGUGUUACCAACGGUUUUCUAUGGUGAAAGGCAAUCAACAAAAUCUCUUAUGGCAGCUUCUCUUCUCCUGCGUUAUGUGGAAUUUUUGGCUUUAUCGGGAUGAUGUCAUCUUUAAUAGGGCUGCUCCAAAUCUUCAAAGCUGUUUUUCCUUGGUCUUCCGCAGUUUCUCAUUAUGGCUGAGACUCGAUACCAAUUCUUCAGACUCUGCUGGCGAGAUGUUCAUAACAGCUAUGAUGGCAUUGGUUUUGUAGAAAGGAGGCGCUGAUUUCAAUUGUUUUUUUCCUUUUCCCACACUGUUUUCCUUCCCCUGUUUCAAAACCUCUAAAGCUUGUUGGCUUCUUCUUUUUUAUUUUUUCAGCUAGAACUUCUGUAUGCUAGGCUAUUAUUUUUUUAGCCAUUUUCUUAUAGUACUCUCGAUUAUAAUAAUUAAAAAAAAAACAUCUGAAGUGGCUGAAUAAGCUUCGGUUCCAUCUCCAUCAGGUUUGAGUAACUCGGCCAACUCAGUCGAUUACUCUAGCAUUAUUUUGAGUCACCAGCUAGCUACAAGUCUUCAAGCUUUGAAAUGACUAGCUAGUGGCGUUCCACUAUGCCACCGGUAAGGAAAAGAAAUCUCUUUAAAUUCACCAAGGAACUUUGCUUUUAGACAGCAGUGGAGAUUUUAUUAAAAAAUUUGGCUAAAAUGAGAAUAGCCUAAUAAGAACCUAAAAAAAAAAAAAAAAACAACCGUAGAGAAGAUAAAAUAAAGAAGACAUAAAAGCACGGUAUCUACAAUAGGAAAAAGAAAACAGGGACCAGACAAUUGAUAAAAACUAGAAGUCAACAAAAAAAAUUAACAUCAUAUUUUACUAUCAUUACACUAUAUAUAUAAAAAAAAACAAUAUGUAAUGGCUCUUCAAAAUAUAUUUAUAAAAGAGAUCUUUAUAAAAGAGAUUAAAAGAUCCAAUUUAAUAAUUUGAUGAAAUUGAAAAUUAAAGAUUCAAUUCCUUACUGAAGAGCUGCUUUUAUUUCCUCUGCCAUUCCGAUUUUCUUUGAUUCUCAUUUAAUCCUUUUAUGGUCAUCAAAUCUUUCUCAUUACUUCAGGUAUAUAAGUACAUCACAUCAAUUUCAAUCUUUUAUUUUUUAUUUUUUAUAACAAGUUGUGAAUCAUAUCAAUUUCUUUUUUCAACCUACAAGUUGUGCUGAUCUCCCUUCACCACAGCCCUACAAAAACUAAUAGAAACAUGUUGACACACUAAAAUACAAGCUUCACUAGUAAAAAAAUACUACAAGUUGCAAGAACUCCACCGCAACGCCAAACCCUUUUGGGCUUGUUUGUUUCUGCGUUUCAAAAAUGCUUUUGACAAAAUUUAAAUUUUUUUUAUUUUUUUAUUAACUUUAAAUUAAUAUGUUUUUAGUGUUUUUAAAUCAUUUUGAUGUGCUGAUGUUAAAAAUAAUUUUUAAAAAAUAAAAAAACAUCUUUAGCAUGUAUUUUGACAUAAAAAACUAUUUAAAAAAUAACCGCAAUCACACUGAGAAACACAUAUAAACUAACUUCCAUUCACAAUCAGCCGCCUCCUUCCCUUCACCCUCUCUUUCUCUCUGCUCAUCCCAUCAUCAUUGCUUCUCUCUCUCUCUCUUUCCAAUCAGAACUAAACAGACGAUGGCUGAGGCACUUCUAUCUCCGAUCUUGCAGCAGUUAACCACGAUCGUUGCUCAACAGGUAUUUUUCUACCAUCUGCAAUAACCUGAUUUACCUAGCAGAGAUAAGAAAUAUAUAUGAAGUUCAAGCCUUUUUUCUUCCUAUCAUAAAAAUAAUACUUUUAACUUGAAUAAAUAAAAAUAAUAUUUUAAAUCCUCAAGUAUAUAUUUCGAUUUUAUUAAAGAAUCUUCUGUUUCUUGUUUUAUUAUUUUUCAUAAUUCCAAAAAUAACAUAAAGAAAAUAUAUCAUUCCAAAUAUAGGAAAACCGAAAAAGGCAAAACAAGAAUUGCCAAUUCUCUUUAAACUUAACCAUUAAGGGUAAAAUAAUCAAUAAAAAGUUCAAAGGAUUAGCGAGCGAGUAUUUGGUGUGAAUUAACACACAAUCUUAUUAUCAUGCCUUUAUUUCUAAAUUGACUUCACAAAUAUAUACAUCCAUCACUUGCCUAUAGUUUAAUGUAAAAUGAAAACCAGAUUUUAUGUCGGUUCAAAGGAGAAAUCCUUCUCUCGUGAGAACAUUGAACUCUUUCCAUACCUAUAUUAAUUAUAUAUAUAUAUAUAUAUAUACACGUACAGGUUUAACAUUUUACCAUUUAAGAUUCAUUUUAUACCCUCUUGUACAGUAGCAUAGUGCAGACUGAUAUCAUCAUCAUGAUGAUAAAAAGAAAAAAGAAAUAUUAUUAUUUCUAAUAAAUAUUUUUUAUAUAAAUUAUUAAUAUAGUCAAUCCAUUUCACAAUAAAAUAUAUUAAUACAAAAUAGAAAUGUUUCCUAUGCUUGAACUUCCUUGUCUUUUCUACACUAAUAGGUACAGGAAGAGGUGAACCAAGUAGGGGGUGUGAAAUUGUCUUGAAAUCACAGAAAUGUUUCCUAUGCUUAACGUUUCUUUUCCUUUGUACACUAAUAGGUACAAGAAGAGGUGAACCUAGUAGUGGGUGUGAAGAAACAAUGUGACAAGCUGAAAAGCAAUCUCCUUGAUAUCCAAUCUGUCCUUGAAGAUGCAGAUAGAAAACAAGUGAAGGAUAAGGCUGUAAGAGAUUGGGUAGACAAGCUCAAAGAUGCAUGUUAUGAUAUGGAUGACGUGCUAGAUGAAUGGAGCACUGCAAUUCUUAGAUGGAAAAUGGAGGAAGCUGAAGAAAAUACUCCCAGCCGACAGAAGAUACGGUGUUCCUUCCUGGGAUCUCCUUGCUUUUGUUUCAAUCAAGUGGUUCGACGUCGCGACAUUGCCCUGAAGAUCAAAGAAGUUAGUGAAAAAGUGGAUGACAUUGCCAAAGAGAGAGCUAAGUAUGGCUUUGAUCUGUACAAAGCCACUGAUGAACUCCAGCGACGACCAACAAGAACAAGUACCUCCUUUGUUGAUGAAUCAAGCGUGAUUGGUCGAGAUGGUGAAAAGAAAACUGUUUUAAGCAAGUUGGUGGGUGAAAGUAGUCAGGAAGCACGGGACGUUGAUGUCAUCUCUCUAGUAGGGCUGGGCGGAAUUGGAAAAACAACUCUCGCCCAACUAGCUUUUAAUGAUGCUGAGGUUACGGCUCAUUUUGAGAAAAAGAUAUGGGUGUGUGUUUCAGAACCAUUUGAUGAGGUUAGAAUAGCCAAAGCAAUCCUUGAGCAGCUUGAAGGGAGACCAACGAAUUUGGUUGAAUUGCAAUCCCUUUUGCAAGGGGUUUCUGAAUCCAUUACUGGAAAGAGGCUCCUUCUUGUCCUUGAUGAUGUCUGGACAGAAAAUCAUGAACAAUGGGAAAAACUGAAACCAUCUCUCACAGGCUGUGCACGAGGAAGCAGAAUUCUAGUGACCACUCGUAAGGACGGUGUGGCAACGAUGAUGGGAACUGACCACCGAAUCAACAUUGAGAAAUUGUCCGAUGAGAUAUGCAGGUCAAUAUUCAAUCAUGUGGCAUUCCAGGAAAGAAGCGAAGAUGAGCGCGAAAGAUUGACAGAUAUCGGCGACAAAAUUGCAAACAAGUGUAAGGGCUUGCCUCUAGCUGCCAAGGUAUUAGGAUGUCUAAUGCAGUCUAAAAGAACAAGAGAAGAGUGGGAACGUGUUUCAUCUAGCGAACUGUGGAGGCUAGAUGAGGUUGAUAGAGAUCAGGUUGAAAGACGAAUAUUUAUACCUUUGCUUUUGAGUUACUAUGAUUUACCUUCUGUGGUAAGACGAUGUUUCUUGUAUUGUGCCAUGUUUCCAAAAGACUACGAGAUGGGAAAAUAUGAAUUGGUGAAGAUGUGGAUAGCUCAAGGUUACCUCAAGGAGACUUCAGGUGGAGAUAUGGAGCUUGUAGGAGAGCAGUACUUUCAAGUCUUAGCAGCGCGCUCUUUCUUUCAAGAUUUUGAGACGUAUGGUCGAGAAGGUAUUAGAUUCAAGAUGCAUGAUAUAGUGCAUGAUUUUGCCCAAUAUAUGACAAAAAAUGAAUGUCUAACAGUGGAUGUCAAUACACUUGGAGGAGCAACAGUGGAGACUUCAAUUGAAAGGGUUCGUCAUUUAAGCAUGAUGCUGCCCAACGAGACCUCUUUUCCCGUGUCCAUUCACAAAGCAAAAGGUCUUCGCAGCCUCUUGAUCGACACUAGAGACCCUUCGCUUGGAGCUGCACUACCUGAUUUAUUCAAGCAGUUGACAUGCAUCAGGUCAUUGAAUUUGACAGGGUCUCAAAUCAAAGAAAUACCAAACGAGGUAGGGAAAUUGAUACAUUUGAGACAC